AACGGUCACGGGGGAGGCUCUUGGUAUUCAACCUCUUUAUAAAGAGACCAAGGCUCCACUCCCUUCUUUCAAUCUCAAUCGAAUCCGCCCCUCGCCUCGAGUUCCAACACCCAAAGCUCCAGAUUCAGGCGCUUCGGACCUUCGAUGAUGUCCGGCUCCGACCUGCAAGGCCGGUGGAUGCCUUCCUCCGUUAUAGAAGAAGACGUGCUAAAGCUAAGAGACGCCAGUUAUUUAACCGGCGAAAUUUCGCAUAGGCUGCCUGCCCAAGGGUAGGUUAUUCCCACUCCCAAGCCUGGUGAAAGCGUGGUGUUCGCGUCUCACUUCCUUCGGGGGCUAAGCUUCCUGACGGACCCCUUCGUGAGGGGGCUCAUGUUUUACCAUGGGUUGGAAUUUCACGACUUGGAUCCGGAGUCCAUCCUCCACAUCUCAUCGUUAGUCGUCGUGUGCGAAGCCUUCCUCCGUAUUACCCCUCACUUCGGAUUGUGGCUCAAGACCUUCAAAGUGGAGCCGAAGAUGAUCAAGGGGUAACAGGCAGAGUGCGGAGGGGCUGUUAUAAGCAAGAAUGCUGAUGCUCCGUGGCCCGAGGGCUCUUUUCAAGAGGAGCUCAGUUUAUGGCAACAAGAGUGGUUUUAUAUCACAGCUCCCAGGGGCACCAAAUGAGUGGCACCACCUGCCUUUCACUCCGGUCCUCCACCGCGGCUGGCGUCAUGGGUCAAUAAAGGGCUUGACUAGGGGCCGUCCAAGGACAUGCCCUUGCUGCAGGGCCGCAUUCGAGACCUCCUAGAGAGAGAGAUCACUUUGGUCGUAGUAGCGCAGGUCAUGCUGAUUCUUCGCAUCCUGCCCUACAGACGUCGCCCCCUCCGCCUGUGGGAAUUUAACCCGGAGGGACCACGAGCUCUCCAACAUUUUAUGGGCGCGACACCCAUGGAGAUGUACAAGCUUUUCUUCGGAUCACAAGAGAUGUGUCCGGACUUGACCGAGGACGCAGGUCUAAGCUGCAAUCGCCCGGAUACUCAAGUAAGUAGCCCUGUACCCGGACACACUAUCCUAUAUUUAUCACAAACUUGCCCUUUAAAAGAGUUGUCCCUUGAACAGGAGUGGAUAGCAAAAGCAAAGCUAAUCAGGUGUCCGGCCCCCCUCCCUGAGACCAUGCCGGAUCCCGUGUUAACCAGGAUGCUGGAGGUUGCGCCUUCGGAAGAAGGUGAAGGGGGGAACAAGGAAGCUACCGCCUCUGCGAAGGAGGCUGUCAGGAAAGGAGGGAUCGAGAAUCCCUCCAUCCAAGGGAAGAAGAGGACCGCCUAUGAAGACCCGGAGAUCAUGGUCACAAAGCAGGGGAAGAAAUCUUCGUCAGAGGGUCCGGCGCCAAGAGAUGCCUCGGCCGCAUUAUGCCCCCAAGGGGAUCAGCCCUCCACCAAGCCGUAAGUAAAAAGGGGAGUUUUUAUUAAAAUAAAGGAUAUCCCUACCCUAUCUCUGAUAACCGAAAUUUUACCUUGUAGUUCGGAUCUCAGCCCUUCUCAGCAGAGCUCAUCUUCAGGGGAUCUUCGUCCGGAGAUGAUAGAGAGCGAAAGGCCUCCCCCUGCCGUGCCGUCUUACGAGGCGGGCGACCCUGAGGUGUUGUCACGGAGGGUUUCUCUGAGUCCGGCGGGGCCAGAAGGUAGUCGUAUGUCCCCUCAAAGCCCUCCGCGUCCGGCCUUCGAAAAAGGCCAUCGGACGAGUCCGGCACCACAUGGUGUACGGUCAGAGGAGAUGAAGGAUCUGCUCGGGCGAGCGUUUAUCUCAGAAGAUCACUGUGCGUUAAUGAGUACGGUGAUUGAAAGGAUUUCAUCCGCUGAGAGCGAAUUGCAUGAAGCCGUCAGGAGUUUACUGACAGGUUUCGAGGUACGCAAAAUGAUGUACCUUCUGACAGUUCCGCAUAUAAAAUGUGCCCUGUGUAGAUAGUAGCCCCUGAGGCUCGGUGUGUUGUCAAAAAAUGACAGCGCGCCGAGCAUCAUAAUCCCAGGUAUAAUGUGUCUCCCUUCCUAUGCAGGUGGCGAAGGAUCCGGUGGCUGGUCGGACUGAUGAAUUUGCCGAACUAAAGCGGCAACUUGACAUGGCGGAUGUCGACAUCGCGCUUGUCAAUAGGCAACUUGACGAGUCACAAGGUAUGUAAUUUCCCCGCGGACACCUGGUAUGGGAGCUUGACGCCCGUGCCUUACAACCAGUAUGCUUGACGCUGAUGGUGCCGCUGCCUUAUUUUGUUAGUUAGGAUCUCCUUCUCACUCCAAAGUAUGGUUGGUGUAUACUCGGCCUUUCCCAGUGUAGUUUGGAGCUCACCCUUUAUUUACACCGACCCAAUCUACAAUCAACAAAAUGUAAUUUUAUAAGAAAGAAAUCAAGCGAAAGCUAACUGUCAGCUCCUGCGGGCGGAGCUCGCCCAAGCCAAGGAGCAGGCCAGAAAGAGUGACGCGGCUGCCUUAAAGGCGGCCGAAGAGCUAAAAGCCGAACAAGCUGCUCACUACCGAAGCAAGAAGAAGAUGGCCGAGAUGGCCAUGGAGUUGAAGAGCACUACCGACCGCUGCAAGCUUCUUGAAAAGGAAGAUCGGGCGGUACGAGAGGACCUGAAGAAGGCCACUGCCGAGGCCAAGGAUGCUCGCUCUGCGAUGAGAGCUAUGAAGGAGGAGCUGCGUCAGGCCAGAGAUAUCGCGGCUGGAAAGCCCUUUCUGCUGCGGAGGAAAUUCCUGGACCCUAAUUAUGCUCAGUUGGACCAGCUGUGGAGUGCGGAAGAUGCUUAUCUGGACUUGGCGGCCAGUGCGGCAGACGCGGCCGAACACUUCCGAGAUCAAGAGGAUCACGAAACGGGAAAGGUUUUUUGGUCGCAGUUCCAUAAUCCAGAGCGCCCACUUCCAUUAACCGAUCGCUUGGCCGAAUGGGCGGAGCUGAAUAGGUUAUUCAUACUUGCCAUGAAGGAUGUCGUGAGUCUUUUGUGGCCGAGGGGCCUGAGCCGAAGAGUAAUUUUGGCUUGGUGCAGCAGUUCCUUGGUGCGGUGCCGCAUAUCAAUGCAAUGAGGAGGUCGGCAUGCAUAGAGGGUGCUCGGAUGGCUCUUGCCCGUGUCAAGACAUACUGGGCGGAGAUGAAGGCCACCGAUGUUGCAACCCAAGAUUCGGACGGAAGCCGAGUACCUGUCGAGCACUAUUUUCAGGAAGUUCUGCCGGGCGCUCGUUUAAUAGAGACGCAGUGCUCGAAGGAUAUUAUGUUCGAAUAACAUGUAUUAUUGUGAAACAAUAUUUCGAUGAAAUAUAAAAGCUUUUUAUACUUGUGCUUUCAAGAAUUAAAACACCUCCUGUGCGGCCGUUAAUGUAUAUGUGUAUAUAACCUGAAAGAUGGCAGUCUUCGGCUUCAGCCCCCACGCAUAUAAUGCAGGGGUGUUUGCAAAAUGUGCAUUUUCACACUUGAUCCAACGUCUUGGUCCUAUAAAGGAGGUGGUAGCGUAGCAAACUAGGCAACCGGACUAUAAUGCUUUAUCACUUUCACUUAGCCAUAGGAGUUUGACAAUGGGGCUCCUAUAUAGCCCCUAGGGGCACCGCAAUCACCCGAAUUUGGGGCGCGUAUGUGCCUGACCGAGAAACGGCCCUUCGUCAAUGCGGAGGAAUCCUAUAGAAUCCGGCGGGUCAUCGAGUGGUUGACCAGUCUCACGCUGUAUCAUGACAGUCAGUUUUCGGCUUUCUCUAUUGAGGUGCUCGCCUGGCCGAACCGGGGCACAAUCGCAGUAGUUCUCCUGGUGCCGCAUUAGCCAAUAGACCGGAACGUAAGGCAGCAAAACACAGGAGCCGGGCAAACCCAACAUUUGACCAAAGACAUGAUUCGGUGCUGAUGCAUAUAAGGCCUAACUCGAGACGCCGAACACUCCCUAAGGUAUUCGGUCUUUAUGAAAACGGGCCGAACAACGCCCUUGGUAAUAAGCCCCUGGUGUCCAGGUACACGCAAAAUUCUGACGUGGCCUAUGCCAAAACUCCAGCCUCCUCCUCGGUUAUAGUAAGAAACCAAGGGAUGUGUAUCAACAAGAGACAGUAAAAAAGGUUUACGCAGGGUCUUAAUCUGAAAAGAAUCCUUGCAACGGGUCCCUGCUGCACGUCUGCGCCUGUGUCUCUGUUGUGCCGUAUCCUGGACGGGAGUCGCACGGUGUUCAUCUGUAAAAGAGAGGAACUUAGUUGAAAAAGAUCGUGCGAACAUGUACGUUAUAUUAAAAUAAACAAAGUACGUUACAAAAAAUAAAUAAAAUUGAGCUUUAUUGACUCUUGUUGUAUAUGCGCGGAGCCCCUAGUGCGAGGGUGUGCGGCUGGUAAGCCCCUGUAUGUUUACGCCGGACUCGUCUAACUGUGUCCGGGGUCUGAACGACCUAUUUGGGUGCUUGAAUUAGUGGAGCCGGUUUAGUGUGUGGCUGUCGAGGCAGUCGCACAAUCUUGCGCGCUCGAGGAACACUCGAUGGUUCCCUUUAAGGAGAAGAUGCCACGUGGACUGGCCAUUUUAAGUGUGAGGGAUGCAUAAUGUGGUGUUGCGUUAAAGCGGGUGAAGGCUUCGCGCCCCAGUAGUGCUUGAUAGCUACUUGUAAAUGGGGCGAGGUGGAAGGUUAACUUUUCACGGCAGAAGUUGUCAGGUGAGCCGAACACAACUUCUAGCAAUAGAGAGCCCGUACAAUGGGCAUAUCGACCUGGCAUUACCCCUUGAAAGGAAGUGUUGCUAUGGCGAAUUUUGGUUGGAUCUAUCCCCAUUUUGCGGAUUGUGUCCUGAUAUAGCAGGUUUAGAUCACUGCCGCCGUCCAUUAGGACUUGUGUAAAUUGGAGUCCGUUGAUUAUCGGAUCUAAUAUCAAGGCAGUCCAUCCUGCAUUCCGGAUACUUCUAGAGUAAUCCUAAUGGUCGAAGGUGAUUGGUUUUGACAACCAGUGGCGGGACUCCUCUGGGAUAGGCCGUAUGGCGUGUAUCUCUAUGGGCGCCGUUCUGUUUUUCCCUUUGGUCACGUAAAGUAAGUUUACUAUUUUAACUUCUUGUGGGAACUUCUUUUGUUUUCCGGUGCUCUGCUUGUGGGGUUCGUCAUCAUCCUCGCUUGGUGUGUCGAGCCCCUUGUGUUCGGCGUUGAGUUUGCCGGACUACUUGAAGACCCAACAAUCUCUGUGGGUAUGAUUUGCAGGCUUCCCGGGGGUACUGUGGAUUUGGCAUACCUUGUCCAAGAUUUUGUUUAAGUUAGAUAGCUCGUCCCUGUUAUCCUUAGGGGGCAGUUUUUUAUGAUUCUGUCGUGAGCUUCUAAAUCCGACGUUGACUGCCGUGGUCUUCGGGUUGUUGCCCUUGGCCCGGUGCUGGUCCUUGCUGCGUCAUGGUUUCCCGUUUCCAUCCCUAACUUCGGAUGUACUUGGGUUGCUGGUACUGCAUCUUGCCAGCCAGCUAUCCUCUCCCGCGCAAAAGCGGGUCAUGAGGCUUGUUAAUGCGGCCAUUGUUCUUGGCUUUUCUUGGCUGAGGUGUCUGGCGAGCCAUUCGUCUCGGACAUUGUGUUUGAAAGCUGCUAAGGCUUCGACGUCCGGAUAGUCGACCAUUUGGUUCUUUUUAGUAAGGAAUCUAUUCCAGAAUUUUCGGGCUGACUCUCCAGAUUGUUGAGUUAUGUGACUUAAAUCGUCUACAUCCGGAGGUCGGACAUAGGUCCCUUGAAAAUUUGCCCGAAAAGCAUCCUCGAGCUCUUCCCAACUUCCAAUAGUGUUUUCGGGGAGGCUUUUGAGCCAAUGAUGGGCUUACCCUUUGAGCUUGAGGGGUAAGUAUUUUAUGGCGUGGAGGUCAUCUCCUCCGGCCAUAUGUAUAUGGAGGAUGUAAUCCUCAAUCCAGACUCCAGGGUCUGUUGUUCCGUCAUAUGCCUCUAUGUUUACAGGCUUGAAUCCCGCUGGAAAUUCAUGAUCCAGAACCUCAUCGGUGAAACAUAGGGGAUGUGCGGCACCCCUAUAUUUAGGUGUACCGUAAUAUUCGGAUACUUGACGUGUUGCAUUGCUUACUAAAGCUUGCUUUCUUGGCCCGUAGAUGGAUCUAACUGGGCCAUCUUUUUGAUGUGAAUCCUUGUGCGGAUCGUGUGUCGGCUUGUGUGCGGCACCGUUUGCCGCUCUAUGUUCGCCAUGGGGUCGUCUAUCCGACCGGGUGGUCUCCUUGUUCUUUGAUUGUGGUGGCUCUACGGCCUCCUCAUCAAAUUCUGGCAGUAGUUUUCGCUUCGGGUAGCUCUUUGUUCGGCGACUGUCGCUGUAUUUGUCUGCGGUGUUGAGUACUUUGCUCCAUCUGAUUCUGAGCGCAUCUUCCGCUGUUUUGAGCUUCCGCUUCUGCUUUUUCAAGCUACGUGCAGUGUCGACGAGCCUUUUGUGGAGGUUCUUCUGCUCCGGUAACUUGUCCGGCGUGAGAUUGCCCGGACUGUUAUCUUCGCCGGGGACGGAUUGUUUAUCCAUGUUGUCCUGUUCGGACGGUUGCUCGAUAGCAUGUUCGCCGUCCACCGGUUCGCCCUGCUCUAUGGCUGGGUCUGUAUGGCUGCGGUCUUUGUCGAGGCGGGAUUUUGAGCGGCGCUUACGUCGCCAUUUUGACUGCUUUUCGAGGGAAUGAUCCCUCGUGGCGUCCCGUUGUUCCUCGUCGUCGCUUCCUUUAGGUGUGUCCACCAUGUAUACAUCGUGGAUGAGGUGGCUGUCCAGUGCCCUAUGGGUGCUGGUUCAUGUUUGUCUUCUACAUCGUCGUCCAUACCAUCGAUGUCUUCGGAAUCGAAGUCGAGCACAUCGUUUAAACUUUCGACAGUGGCUACGAAGUGGGUGGUGGGUGGGUUUCGAAUUUCUUCGUCGUCCACAUCCCAACCUUCCUGACCACAGUCCGGCCAGGACUCUCCUGAUAGAGAGAGAGAGACGUUAGUGAAUUUAGGAUGUCCCCAAAGGGCGAGUGCUGAAAGAUGUCCGCAGCAGUGAACUCCAUGAUUGGCGCCCAAUCGGAUUCGAUUGGCAGGGGCGCGGCAAGUUCGGAGUCCGGAGAGGAGUCCGGCACCUUAGAGUCACAGGCUUCGCAAAGGACAGGGUUGGUGUUCGGCUCAAUCAUCGUAGGGAUAGCAGCCCCCGAGGCGGUGUCCAGCCACCCAUCCUCGAUCGGCGCAGUCGGCUCCGAGCUAAGGGUCAGAGCGGACACUUGUGUGGCCUCCAGGGCACUGUCCGGCAGCAGAGCUAGAUCAUGCCCAUCAUGACAGUGCGGCGCACUUGGCUGUGGCUCGAACCCGUCGAAGAUCAAGUCUCCGCGGAUGUCAGCCGUAUAGUUCAAACUUCCAAAUCUGACCUGAUGGCCAUGGGCGUAGCUUUCAAUCUGCUCCAAAUGGCCAAGCGAAUUGGCCCGCAGUGCAAAGCCGCCGAAUACGAAGAUCUGUCCGGGGAGAAAAGUCUCACCCUGGACCGCAUCGUUGUUGAUGAUCGAAGGAGACAUCUUCUUCUCUUUCCUCCAACUAAGCAAAAAUAUACUAGUUUAUAUCUUAUCGCCCGCUGAGUCGGCUCCAUUGUACUUGCUCUUACAUGGCAUUUUUGCAUAUGUGGAGGAAAGAGAGGCAAGGAAAAAGUGGAGAAGUGGGCUCUCAUGCAAGAGCCAGCCUCUACUACAUGGUGGAGCACUGGGAGAGGCACCUGUAUGGAGGUGCUCAGGAAUCGGGAGACUCACGCCGGUCGUAGCGCCGCAGUUAAAAUGAUAAUGGCAAGUCAAAUCACGGGGCCUCACCUGUCCAGCAGUAACUCACUGUCAAAUCACACAACCCUAUGUUUGCAGUAGCCUACUCCCUCGUCUUCUCAUGUCUCUGUUGAACCGACUAGGCGGAACUGCCCCGCCGCCUACCGCGUAGGAAAAGCCCCGCCCUCAACUUUUAAAUACAACUACAUCUGCUUAAGAAUCCAAUGAUAUACUUUUUGUGACAUAGUAACGCAUAUUUAGUUAGUCAAAUGGAUGACCUAGAACUACGUGCAUGCCCUAUAAACCGAGACGCCUAAAAAUAAAAAAACGAGACGGAGAGGGUAGUUCAGCACGUAUCUUUUUAGAUCAAUAUAGUCGGGAUUCACCAAGGAUCAAAACCAAGUGGUAGGCUGCUCCUGUCGUGUUGGCGUAGUAACUCAAGCAUGGUCAGUCCGCACACGAAAUGGCGACACACUUAACAGGACCCCUUUGGCCGACAUGUGGCUCAUCCACCGUCUUGUUCCACGUGUGAUGCACCAAAUUACAGUUCGGAGCAGCGGUUGGAAUAGGAGGCACCCCAGUCGUAGCGCCGCAGUAGUAGAACAUGAGCGAUGAGGGGUCAAAUCACAAAGCCCCACCUUUCCCGCAUUAAGCUGGAGUGCUGGACGGACGAAGCAACCAUCAUUUCACUCUAGGGUGCAAGAGCAUAAAGAAAAGAGAAAACAAUGAUGCGUGCGGUAGCUACCUAGGGCACCCUAGGGUAGGGGUCUCCACUACAGAUCCUUUUUUUUUGAAAGCGCCUCCACUACAAAUCGGCUUCUCCCUCGUCCUCUUGAAGAAAACCGAUGAUGAGUGCGGCGGUAGGGUUUGUAGGAGUACUACGGCGUGCGGGGCCACGUCGUAGUAAACGGGUUCGAGUCGACGCCUUAAAUAUGUGUGGGCCGCUUGGUUUUACGGGAACGAGGGAGCAUUUUGGGUUCGGGGACCAGUGGAGAUAUAGUACGUACAAAAAAUUGUGGACGUAGGUUCGACCGAAAGGCAAUGAUGCAUGGGCCUUGCAUUUUGAUAUACCCAGGGCCGCGUGAAAUUUGCUACUCUACUCAAAACUAGUAAGGUACACAUGUAUUGAACGCAUGAGAUUUCGAAACCAAAUUAUGAAUAAAUACACACUAUAGCAUGUAAAGCUUUGAGUCAUAUAUGCAUGAUGUAGAUGUCCGUUUUGUUCUUAUAGUUCAUCUCAUUCAAAAUCAAUUAGUUUUAUAAAAAUGUUAAGAUUCAUGGGGUUGUGCAUUGUAAAUCAUAAAGUAAAAAACAAAUAAUGGCAAUUCAUUUAGAAAAAAAAUAAUCAAUUAUGAUACAGAAGAUUCUAUAACAAAGGAGAAGUGCUUGUGUUUUGAGGUUUGUGCAUUAUGCUUAAGUUCAACCAUGGAGUCUUCUAAAUUGUACAUGUGGCAGAUCUGGUGGAAUGUUGAUGAUAUCCAACGGCCAGUAGUGCUCGGAUUUGCCUAUCUCUGCAUUGUCAGGUUAGCUUCAUCCAACGACCAUCUUUCAAAGUUAUUGGCACACUAUAUAGUUCUUGUGCCAUAGUUGCAUGUUUUGGAAAAAAACUACUGGUGGGUUGUACUAUCUAUUUAGGAAUAGAAGAUGUAUACAUGGAAGUUGUAGGGAAAGAGAUGACAUGGAGCAUUUCAAUUCCUAUGAGUACGGAUUGGAAAAGAGAUGUCAUUUGGUUCACAUCAUAGGAACUUUUCUAUUAAAUCUAGAGAUGACAGGUAUCUCAAUUCCUAUGAGGAGGGAUUAGAAAAGAGAUGUAAUUUGGUUCAUAUCAUAGGAACUUUUCUAUUGAAUAUAUCGUAAUGUUUAUUUUCCUUUGAAAUUAAGGGAGUAUAGGAAUCCAUUCAUAUGAACCAAGUGGCUCUAAAGCUAUAGAAAUGAUAUCAUGUUUAUUUCCUUUGAAAUGUGGAGUAUAUGAAUCUAUUCCUAUGAACCAAUUGGCUCUAAAGGAAAAAAUCCUAUAAAAAUCAUAUCAUAUAGAGUUCCUAUGAUAUUCCUCGACACUAAAGGAUGCUUGAAAUUGCUGUGGGUGAUACGAUGGUCUUUCUUUGUAGACUCCUCACCCAUCUUUAUAGUUACCUCUCGAAGAUGAAUGAAAUGAUAUAUACAGGGUAUUCUACAUGUGCAACUUGGUACACGAAAACUCGGUAAAAGUUUGCGAGGUUCGAAUUUUCAAUAAAGCUAUAUGCACUACAUUUCGGAAUGGAGGGAGCAUGCGGCAGUUGCUAACACUCACGUGGAAGAUUUGUGUGUAGGAGGAGUGGCUGUUCUGUUAAAUGACAUGGCAAAACUGACACUGUCGGAUGCUGAUCUAACGGUUCUUACGGCGUUCGUCAGGAAAAGGCUUGUGGCAAACGUUUGUCGGAUAAUGAUUUACGGACACAUGCAUUGCAUUGAUACGUGCCCCCCUCUCUCUCAUGCACACGCACCCUCACGAGUCACGACUCUCCCGAGUCCUCUCGCAGACUCGCACAUCGCACCCACCGUCUAUCUGCAGGUAGACGUCACGUACAUAUGUGCUCUUCACACCCUCCCUCAGAACUUCUAAAAAACAAAAGACUGCAUGCACAUUUUAUUUUAGCUCACACGUCACACACUUAUACUAUUACUCUUGCGGCGAAUGUUCUUUGGGCAUAGUAUAUUGUACUCUCACGAAGAGAAGCGGUGCACGCACGCACUAGUUCUCUCACACCCGCUCGCGGGUACACGUAGGAGCACAUUUUUUGAAGCUGGUACAACAAAGUCACUCCACUAUAUAUAAAAGCAGGAGCCAUAGCGCUUGCUUUACUAGGGUUCCUCUCGUUCACUCUCUCAUGCUCUCCAGAUCUAAGCAAGACAUAGGUGGCCACACUCUCUCUCAGCUCAUGGCUGGUCACAAAUCCGGCCGAACAACCUCGAUCGGGGCAGGGGUGUAGGUGCAUCGUUCAUGCUGUCGUCGGCGGCGAGGGAGGAGACCAAUGGCUGCCCGCGUGUCCCGAUCAGCGGCCGUGCCGUUCUCUCCGAGAGAGCGCCGGCUCGGGAGGGCCUCCGACCCCUUCUUCCUCCCUGCGGUAUUGUGGCCAAGAUGCGGCCUCCCGACGCCGUCUUUGACACAUGCCGACGACCCUCGGGUAUAUAUUCCUUCGAAACCUGCCUUGCUCUACUGCCCCAGCUCCCUUCGUGUGGAUCCUUUUCUACUUCCGUCUGCUGUUCCAAAGCCACCUAGACUUCGACUAUUAUUAGAAGUAAAGUUAGUUCAUAUAGUCGACUCAAAGCAUUGGUUCAAACAGGGAAGAAAGUGGGAAAGCUGUAGCAUGAAUCUAAGACUUGGUUGUAAGAGGAAACGGGGGAAAGUAGUAAUAUCUGUCACUGUUUAAAUAACUGUAUUUCGUAUUUGCGCAAACAGGGAUGUCUGCCUCCGUAUCGUUUCUAUCCACGCAAUCAAAAGCACACACCUCAGUUUUAGUACAACUGUGCAAAAUGAGAUGGCUAUCCCUCGUUGCCGUCAUCUAACCUCCCGUCUUCAAGGUAACCCUACAUUGGUACUAACUAAGGUAGAAAGACCAACGCAAUCUAAAAGAAGCUGAUUCGUAUGUUUUACUUCCUGAUUGCAGCGCAGGGACGAGCAAAAACAACUGCAUCCUAGUCCAGAAUGCACUUUCUACCAGUUCAUCCAUGGACCGAGGACUAGCUGGCACGGCUGCACGGCGGUUUUUUUGGACAGGUGCGCGGACAAGAGGCAUUGUGGUCUGCUUAUUUCUGCAAAUAGUGGUGCUUAAAUUUAGUGGAAUGCACAAGAAUUUCACCUGGUCAGUACACUUCAUGGUUCAGUUCAGCAUUCCAGCUGAGACCACAAUUAUAACUGGUUAUUCUGGAAUGAGAGAACCUAACCCUGGAUGGUGGCAACAAGAAAAAACCAGAGUGAACUCCAGGAAAUUUAAGCCUGCCGGGAGGCCCUUUGCUCAGAGAAGCCUUUUGCUUGUUUUUUCCUAAUUUGUAAACCUUCUCACAACUUUGUCUUUUGCUGUGAACUAGUAUAUGUUUGUUAUGUUCUAUGAAUCCUUGAGAUGUAUAAACUUGCUUAACUUAUGCUUUUCAAGUUUUUUGUGAAGAUGAGUUUAAUGUGAGUGUUCCACAUGAGCGUUGGACUAGCGUGUGAACGUUUGGAAUUCAUUACAUUGUGGCCUCAAUUAACUGCAUGAACCACUGUAACAAGAUACAUAGUUGCUUAUAUGUCAGACAUCAGAUUGUUGAUUGUUAGCUGGUCGAUAGCCUAGUGUUGAAGCGAGCUGAGCCAAUGUGCCGUGUUUUGCACAACUGCUUACAAGUGGGGUAGCACCAACAGUGUUUACAAGUACUUAUGUAUACGUCGGCGCAUGGUUCUCGAACGAGUGCUCUAUUUCAUCAAAACACACACUGCUCGUAUGAUAAACCGUGACAACUUAUGUCUUACCAUGCCAUAUUCAUGAAAAAACUAGUGAGGACGCAUCUGUUUCGGCAACAAUUACGAUGGUUCUCACAUGAUUCACGGGCACACAAAAGUAGCAACAGUUCCCAUAGACGGAUUCGAACAGAGUACUAGCCCCAGAGGGGUCAAUAACAGGCAAGGUUCGGAUAAUUAGACACAAUCCAAACUACUAUUAAACACUAGCUGGGGCAACUAUUUCAUGCCUCGAUCUAAUUUUGGCUGGACACAAGACGGACCUUGCCAUGAACAUCAUCGAGGACGUCCAGCAGCAGCUCAAUCCUGUGAACAUUCAUGAAGACAACCUUGUGGCCUUGCCACUAAUAAACUUGUUUGUGGAGGCAUGCCACGUCAUCUUCCUGUGUAAGCUUGACAAGAACAGUAUGCCUCACAAACGAAGGAGGAGCUUUGAACUUCUUGUGCUUCAGUACACCCUGGACAACACGCCUGAUAACAGUGAGGCUGGAAUACAACUCUUCAUUGGUAUAACCGUAGAUGGCUUCCAGGAUCCAACAGCCUAAGAACUCUAUGUUCCCAGUGCGUAUAUUCAGGUCGUCCGCCUCAUAGCGAGUGACAUGUACAACCACACAAUCCUUGUCUGCAUCAGGGCUCUAACUGAAAUAGAAACAAAUUCUGAAUUACUUUUCAGUAUAAGAAACACAAGUUAUUUAAACCACUAUGUAUAGCAUGGCAUCGAAGCUAAUAAAAUUUUGCAUUAUUAAUCACCACAUACUUCCUUUUCUAAAAAAAAUCACCACAUACUUAGAUGAAAAACCACAAUCGAGAUCGGCAAAGAAGGAAAUCGCCUUGGGCAGCUCAGCGGGGGGGACACAUCCACGAAGGGGGAAAACUGCUCCUGCAGUGCCAUGAGGGUUGUAACCUCAAACAGGGCGUUGACCAUCUCAGUAGUGGCCGUGAGCGUAUCUAGGGUCGGCUCGGUGGUUUCCUCCAUCUUCUUGGAGCUCUCUGUCUCGUGGGGAUCAGCCUCCCGCGUCUGCUCCAAUAUCGGCAGAUCUUUGCCUGGUUCUCCUUGGUCCAUCAUGAAACUGAUGAAUACUAGGAGACCACUAAAAGGAAAACACAAUCACAAUGACAAUGAAACAAAAAAGAGAGUGAGGAUCGGUUACUGCUUUGCAAAAGUUAUUUUUUUCUCUGAACGAAAAUAUACCAACAUCACGGAUCCGCUUACCUUCCCUUCGUUCGGAGAGAAGACCAAUGGCAGAUGCGAGUGUUGCCUUUCUUGAAGACGGUGAGGGAGAAGGGGAUUCAGUGAAGAGUGAAAUGAUGGUUGCUUCGUCCGUCAAACUUAGACUGCGGGGAGGUGGGGUUUUGUGAUACGACGGCUCGUUACUGCCGCGCUGUGACCUGGGUGACUCUCCGCCUGCAUACUGCCUUCUAAUUUGGUGCAUGGCAUUUGGGCCCGCGCGCUGCAUGGCCCGCAUGUCGGUGAACAAAAGUAUAAUGGCAUUCAGUAGAGGGAGAUGUUUCAAUGACCUGGAGGAGCCAGAAGCGGUAGAGUGUCUCCACUGUACUAGUAGUAAUUGUUUUUCUGGGUAGCUGUAGAGUGUCUCCACUGUACUAGUAGUAAUUGUUUCUCUAGGCCCAAGACAAAAGAGCCCAUCCACAUUAGUAAAUAGUAAAAUCAAUUGAAAAGCCCAUAUAUUUACUGAAUGAGAGGCGCUACCCACACCCAGCACACCGCCCCCCAAAAAAACCUGGGUCCUCUUCUUCCUCCUCGCUCCCACCCACCUCACGUCAGCUCGCUCCACUCGUACCCCCAAAUUCCUCACCUCACUCCUAUAGAAAACCCCAGCUCCCCUUCUUCCUCAAUCCUACAGAAAACCCCCAGCUCCCCUUCUUCUUCGCUCGCACUACAACUAGGCUUGUCAUUCAUUACUCUGCUCAAAUCCGACGUGACGCCCUCGAGGAAAAUGGAGUCGGCUGACCCCAGCACCAAGAAGAUGAGGCUCCCGCCAGCGGCAAUGCCUGUUGUAGAUCCCGCACCCGGCAGCGUGGCGAGAAGCGGCGACCCCGCCCCCACCGGAUCCCAGGAACCCGUAGAAUCUCGGGUAGACCGCAUCAGCAAUAACCCGGACGCCAUCCUUGGGGAGAUCAUCUCGCUUCUCCCCACCAAGGAUUGCUGCCGCACCCAAGUCCUCUCAAUUUGGUGGCACCCUCUAUGGCGCGCCGUGCCCCUUAAUCUCGACUGUCGUCAGCUAUCUCUCUUCAAUGAUUUUGAAAUCCCCAGAGCCAUCAUCUCCUCCCACCAGGGCUCCGUUCAAAGCCUCUGCAUCCCGUCAUGCUACCUGAGCAAGCAUACCAUGCCCUGCACGGUGGACGCCUGGCUGAAAUCCCCUGAAUUCACAGAACUACAGCUGCUUGAGUUCUACUAUUCCCCUAGAAAUCACAUACCACGUACCGAACGACAUGAACUUGUGCCCUCAGCAUCGAUGUCCAUCUCGCGGUUUUCCUCCUCUCUCCACACCGCCACCUUUGCGUUGUACUACCUACCAGACAAUCUGGUACUAAACCUUCGACUCCCAUUUCUCAAGAAACUUUCACUUGUGCGGGUUCGUACAUCGGAGGCCUCAUUGCACAACAUCAUCCACUCCAGUUGCCCUGCGCUAGAGUGCUUGGUGCUUGUUUUCACAGUUAGAAUCGGUUGUCUCCAAAUAAAGUCGCCUAACCUUGUAAGAAUUGGAAUUUCUUUUGACGGAAGGCAGCUCAUCAUCCAAGAUGCCCCUUCACUUCAAAGGUUGAUCCUUGAUUCUAGUUAUUCACCGUUGCAAAUAACCGUCCUCUCUGUGCCUAAACUGGAGACCUUGGGUGUAAUACAUGAUCUCUAUGCUCAUUUCAAUAUGGUGUUUGGCUCCACAGUUCUUCAGGUACUUUAUAUUACCAUCUACACUUGUAACCAUAAGCUGCAUUUAAAUUUCUGCGCAUACUUUAUAUAUCAUCUUGGAGUACACAUUUUGUACUAAUAUUAUGUUCUAUGCUCAAUGAAGAGUUUCUCCAUGGAUGGCCUAUCAAUAGUGCUGGAUUUUGUCAAGAUCUUAUAUAUCCAAAUGAAUAGUUUUGAUCUAAACAAGAUUAUUGGCUUGCUGCAAUGCUUUCCAUGUCUGGAGAAGUUGUAUAUAAAGGUGAUAAUUUCACGCACAUUGGAAGCCCGCAUAUAGUGUACUAGAAUUAACCGUUCAGUUGUUGCUCUUUCGACACUCUUCUUUUAGACCUUAACUGUUUUCAAUCUUCAUGUAUAUUUAGGCAACAGGACGUGGUAAGAAAGUUAUAACCAAUCGGUGGAUUCGUAAGCAUCGGGAUUUUCUCACUUCUCAUGAGAUUCGAUUGAAGACAAUAACGCUAGAACGAUAUGUAGCCAACCGUGCAAACAUAAGAUUUGUCACAUUCUUCCUGCUGAAUGCGAGGUUACUAUUGUCCAUCAGGCUUAAGUUUAUCAGCAGCAUGGUUUUGAUGGAUGGGUAUGUUGAAGAGCAAAAAAUGGAGUUUCAGGUGGACAAAAGAGCUUCUGAACGUGUCGGGCUUCUAUUUACAACAAAUUGUGGUCAUAAUCCAGUAAAUUUUACGACCCAGGAUGUUCAUUCUAUGGACCUGACCAAUCCAUUUGGCUAUGACUGCCGAAAACAGUGCUGGAGUUAGAUGUUGUUGCCCUUUUCAAUCUGGGUUUUUUUGUAAACCUGAUGAACAAUUAACCCUCGUGCUUUUGUACAGUUUGUAAGCUGGAGUUAGAUGUUUCUGCCCUUUUCAACUCAGCUGUGACUGUCAUAUUUUCUUUGAAACAAGGCAAAUGGCUUGCCAUUCAUUUAAUUUAUAGUGAAAUGUUGUAACAAAUCCCAACCAAGGGAAAUAAAAUCACUCUCGCCGGCUGCUUGAGCUCACUGUGCAUUAUAGAAGCCAAGUGAUUAGCCCCCACCAGCACCCACAAACUUAUUUCGAACUAGCACAUCAAAUGGGUUGUAAAUUUUCAUAGGAAAGGCUGCAUGACCAUGACAGAUUUGGAUUCUGACAGUUGGGACCCGUGAGGAAAUAGCCUAUCCAAGGUGGUGUCGACUCACUAGCCAGUCAACAAACGAUUUUGCCUACCGGCCGUUGGAUUGACAUCCAACAUAUGUCGUGUAUCUUCUAUCUCUUGUCUUCUUCUUCCUCCAGCUGCCCAAACCAAACCACGCCAUCGGCUUCGCCUGCUCCCGCCUCCCAUGGCUGACUGCGCCUCUGCCGCCCUACCAUACAUACCCUCCAACGUUGGCCAGCCCCUCCCUCUAUUCCCCCACAUGUCCUGUAAUUCUUCGGCGACGUCAGCCCCAAUACGCACCCGCGCCCGAACUAGUCAACCCUCGUACUCCCCUCCGCCUGCAACUAGACCGGCGCAUGUUCAACGGCUCUUGUUCGUUCCAUCCGAGACCUUGCUGUCGUCCUCCGCCUUGCGGCCUUGGUUCGUUCGCCGUGCGCGGUGCGCCGCCCUCUUGCAUUGUCAACGUCGUCAACAACCGAGAGGAACAAGGAGAGGACUAUACGUGGAGAGGAUGACAGUAGGGACCCACCAGCGUCAUGGCAAUACGCAAGCAAGUGCCUCUAUAGUACAAGCCCAAAAAUAUGGUUCCUCCUAAUGGUUGGACAUCUGGGGCUCAUGCCAUUGUCAACGUAGUCAAUAAACAAGAGAAUUACACUACGAGCGGCUGACACCAGGGACCCAGCAAGUCGCGCAGUUUUUUUUAGGAACAAGCAGUUGUUAUUUAUACUAGUUUUAGCGACGGAUCAGGGUAACAACGGGGCUGUGCGGGGGCUGUGGCCCGUCUAGCCAGGGUUUUAUUUAUGUUUACCACAUCAUGAGCCUAGUUGUGUUUUUUUCUUGCUGAAAAUGGCUAGCCCAGUUCUAUUUUUUAAGAAAUACCCAAACAAGGCCUACUUGCUUUAUCAGCCCUGCUGGGCUGCAAAUCUUUCAAGGCGAGGAGAGUUUCAUUCGGUUUGCCCAGAAAUGGGUUGUACAUUUUUAAAACACAUCAAACCAGGAAUUAGUUUCAAAUUUUUUUUCAUUAAAAGAUCUUAAAUUCCAUUGAUUUUAUGCGUGGACAAUUAUUUGGAUUUUAUAUUUAUAUAAAUUAUUUUUCAAAAUAGUUUGAAUGUGAAUCGAUAUUUCUGGAUUAAAAACAGUUGACCGCACCGAAAUAUGCAAAAUUUCGUAUAGUUUUAACCGUGGCCACAAUAUGGGUGUAAUGCUAACAAAAAGAAGAUGGGAUCCAAAAAAAUUCUUAAGAAUUAGCAAAUGGGCUGUACAUUAUUAGAAAUAAUGGCAGAUGGGUUGUAUGUUGUUUUCCACAGAUUUGAGGCUGACUUGUGUGCCUACUACAGGUUGACGCAUAUGCUUUCAUAAAAAAAAGGUUGACGCACACGCAACGCCCUGUCAACUUAGUGAACACAUGAGAGCAGUGACUGUUGGAUGUCCAUCCAACGGCUGUCGUGCUUCUUCAAUCUCUGCUCUUUAUGCUCUAGCCGCUCAAACAAGCGCCGGCGAGACUGCCUGCUCCCUCCUCCCGCGGCCGGCUAUGCUGCCGCGCAGGCCUCACGGCCCCAUCGUACUCCCAUCAUUGGCCUAGCCAUCCCUCUACUCACCCACACAUGAUGUUAUUCUCCGGCGACGGCAGACGAACCAGUAAACCCUCGUACUCCUCCGCGUGGGAAACAACUGCUGAGUAUUCCCUGGCUCUGUGUCGUUCCCUUCCUAGGCCUCGCCGUCGUCCAUCGUCCUGGUGCUCUCGGCGCGGCCUAGUCAACGUGGUCAAUGAACGACAUCCAUCGGAAGUGUACUGUACGUGGAGAGGCUGACAGCUGGGUCCACGACCGCAUGCAAGGAAAUGCCUCCUUAUUAGGUGCAAAAUAAUGAUUCCUCCACCUGACAACUAGGACCCACAGGAAGGGCCUCUGUAUUUCAGGAAAAAAAUGUUCCCCCCGCUGACAGGUCAGACCAACCAGCUAUAUCUUCGCACGCAAGGAAGUGCCUCCUUAUUAUGCCCAAAAAAAAUGAGUACCCCUGCUGGCAAGGACCCACCAUAUUGUUGGACUGACUUGUGGGCCUACUAAGUUGACAAAGCCCUCUGGCCCCGUCCAUCCAACGGCCAUAGUGCUUCUUCAACCUUUGGUCUUCUUGCUCCAGCCGCCCAAAGCAGCGUCGGUCGUGCCGCCUGCUCCUUCCUCCCGUGGCCGGCUGUGCUACCGCAGAGGCCUCACCGCCCCCAUACUACUCCCACCACUAGCCAGGCCAUCCCUCCACUCACCCACACCCCCUGUUAUUCUGCAGCGAUGGCAGCCUCACACCGCAGCCGAACCAGUGAACGCUCGUACUCCUCUCCGCGUGGGCAUCCACUGGCGCGUCUUCCCCGGCUCCGCGUCAUCCCCUUCCUAGGCCUCGCCAUCGUCCACCGCCGUGGUGCUCUCGGUGCGGCGUGGUCAAUGUGGUCAACGACUGACUUCCAUCGGAAGAGUACUGUACGUGGAGAGGCUGACAGCUGGGUCCACGGCAGCCGCAAGGAAGUGCCUCCUUAUUACGCGGAAAAUAAUUAUUCCUCCACCUGACAGCGGAGACCCACCGGACGGGCCACCAGUAUUUUGCGAAAAAAAAAUCGUUUCCCCCUGACUGCUGGGACCCACCGGACGGGCCACCGUAUUUCAUGAAAAAAACGUUCCCCCCGUUGUCAGCUCGGACCCACCGGAUGUGCCUCCUUAUUAUGCACAAAAAACUGAAUACUCCCCCGGCUAGUUGGGACCCACCUUGGCGGGAGGAUGAGUUGUGGGCCUACUAAGUUGACGGGGACGAAGGGCUUUGUCAACUUAGUCAAUAUGAACAAUUCUAGCUCCACUGACCGUACGAUGUCCAUCCAACGGUCGUAGUGCUUCUUCAACCUCUGGUCUUCUUGCUCCAGCCGCCCAAAGCAGCGCCGGUCGUGCCGCAUGCUCCUGCCUGCCGUGGCCGGCUCUGCUGUCGCAGAGGCCUCACCGCCCCCUACUAUUCCCACCACUGGCCAGGCCCUGCGGCGACGGCAGCCUCACACCGCAGCCGAAUCAGUGAACCCUCGUACUCCUCUCCGCGCGGGCUUCCGCUGCCGCGUCUUCCCCAGCUCCGUGUCGUCCCCUUCCUAGGCCUCGCCGUCGUCCACCGCCGUGGUGCUCUCCGCGCGGUGUGGUCAAUGUGGUCAAGGAACGACUUCCAUCGGAAGAGUAUUGUACGUGGAGAGGCUGACAGCUGGGUCCAUGGCCACAGCCCAGUUUUUUGUGAUUUGCCAAGUAAGUCACUUUGUCAGGCCUGUUGGGCUGCAAAUCUUUCAAGACGAGGAGAGCUUUCAUUCGGCUGGCCGAGAAAAUGGCCCAUCAGUAAUGAGAAAUUGGUUGUACAUUUUUAAAACACAUCAAACCGACAAUUAGUUUCAAAUAUCUUUUUUUUCAUUUCAAGAUUUUAAAUUACAUUAAUUUUUAUGCAUGGAGAAUUUGUUGGAUUUUAUAUUCAUAUACAUUUAUUUUUAAAAUCAGUUUGAAUGUGAGUCGAAAUUUCGGGAUUAAAAACAGUUCUGACCGCACCGAAAUAUGCAAAAUUUCAUAUAAGUUUUUAACCGUGGCCACAAUAUGGGCUGUAAUGCUAACAAAAAGAAUAUGGCCUCCAAAAAAAACCUUAAGAAUUAGCAAAUGGGCUGUAAAUUAUUAGAAAUAAUUGCAGAUGGGUUGUAUGCUGUUUUCCACAGAUUUGAGGCUUUCCUAAAAAAAGGUUGACGCACAAGCAGUGACUGUUGGAUGUCCAUCCAAUGGCCGUCGUGCUUCUUCAAUCUCUAUUCAUCCUGCCCCAGCCGCUAAAACAAGCGCCGGCGGGACUACCUGCUCCCUCCUCCCCACGGCCGGCUGUGCUGCCGCGCAGGCCUCACCGCCCCCACCGUACUCCCAUCGCUGGCCUAGCCAUCCCUCUACUCACCCACACCUGCUGUUAUUCUCCGGCGAUGGCAUACAAACCAGUAAACCCUCGUACAGUCGUACUCCCCUCCGCGUGGGAAACAACUGUCGAGUCUUCCUUGCCUUCAUGUCGUCCCCUUCCUAGGCCUCGCUGUUGUCCACCGCCGUGGUGCUCUCGGCGCGGCGUGGUUAAUGUGGUCAACUACCGAGUUCCAUCGGAAGAGUACUGUGCGUGGAGACGCUGACAACUGGGUCCAUGGCCGCAGCAAGGAAGUGCCUCCUUAUUACGUGCAAAAUAAUUAUUCCUCCACCUGACAACGGGGACCCACCGGACGGGCCACCAUAUUUCGCGAAAAAAGCGUUUCCCCCUGACUGCUGGGAUCCACCAGCUACACCUUCGCACGCAAGGAAGUGCGUCCGGGCAAAAAAAGAAAACGAUUCGCCCCCUGACUGCUGGGACCCACCAGCUACAUCUUCGCAUGCAAGGAAGUGCGUCCGGCCAAAAAACGAUUCGCCCCCCUGACUGUUGGGACCCACCAGCUACAUCUUCGCACGCAAGGAAGUGCCUAACAGUUGGGACCCACCUGGUCGAAGCGUACAUAGCGUUGUCAUUCUGGUCGCGAACGUGUACGUACAUACUGGUCGUUGUAGAGGCGCGCAUGUGUCGUAGUAGAGGCGCGCACGUAGCAUGUACACGUACGUACAGCGGCCAGGGUGCAAGAAAGAAAAUACGGCCAUGUAUGUGUACAUACGGGCGGGGUCUCGAACGCCUACUCGCGCAUACGUACGGCCAGGGCUCGUGUACAUGGCUGGGUCGGAACGAAGAAACAGCAUCGUCAUCGUGUUCAUGAGGAGGCAACGGAGUGCGUCGUGUUCAUGGGGAGGCAACGGAAUGCGUCGUGUUCAUCGGGAGGCAACGGAACGCGUGGGAGCCAACCGGCUGGGUCGGAACGGAAUGCGUGGUUGUGUUCAUCGGGAGGGCUUGGACGGAACAGGCGAUGGAAACGAGGCCUGGCGUACCGCACAACGGAGGAAACGGACCUCCUACGUUUGGAAUAGGGUCCUGUUGAUCGGGAGGGGUGUGGCGUGCCGCAAAACGGAGGAAACGGACCUCCUACGGUCGAAACAGGGGUCCUGUUGAUCGGGAGGUGUGUGGCGUACCGCAAAACGAAGGAAACGGACCUCGUACGGUCGAAACGGGGGUGGAGGGGUGUGGCAUACUGCAAAACGGACGAAACGGACUUGUGUUGGAGCGCUACGGUCAAAACGGGGGUCCUAUUCAUCGGGAGGGGUGUGGCGUGCCGCAAAACGGGACUCCACGGGAUACUGUUCAUCUCCACCGUCGACCUCCUCCAGCCUCCACGGGCUACCGUCGACCUCCUCCAGCCUCCACGGGCUCCUGUUCAUCCAGCCUCCACAGCGCGCUACUCCACCGGCUACUGUGCAACCACCCCUCCACCGUCUACUCUUCAUCCAGCCCUCCAGACCACAGGGUCCUGUUCAACCACCCCUCCACGGGCACCCCUCCAUCGUCUACUGUUCAUCCAGCCCUCCACCACACCACGGGGUCAUGNNNNNNNNNNNNNNNNNNNNNNNNNNNNNNNNNNNNNNNNNNNNNNNNNNNNNNNNNNNNNNNNNNNNNNNNNNNNNNNNNNNNNNNNNNNNNNNNNNNNNNNNNNNNNNNNNNNNNNNNNNNNNNNNNNNNNNNNNNNNNNNNNNNNNNNNNNNNNNNNNNNNNNNNNNNNNNNNNNNNNNNNNNNNNNNNNNNNNNNNNNNNNNNNNNNNNNNNNNNNNNNNNNNNNNNNNNNNNNNNNNNNNNNNNNNNNNNNNNNNNNNNNNNNNNNNNNNNNNNNNNNNNNNNNNNNNNNNNNNNNNNNNNNNNNNNNNNNNNNNNNNNNNNNNNNNNNNNNNNNNNNNNNNNNNNNNNNNNNNNNNNNNNNNNNNNNNNNNNNNNNNNNNNNNNNNNNNNNNNNNNNNNNNNNNNNNNNNNNNNNNNNNNNNNNNNCACUGUUCAUCCCAGAGGCAGCAUCGAUCGGCUUCAGUUAGCAGCAGUAGCGAAGGAAUCGCUCGAUCGGGUUCAGUUAACAGCCAUCGAUCGAUCGCUCGGGUUCAGUAACGUGUAGCCUGCAGUGCAAUCGCUCGGGUUUAGUUAGAGCCCAACGCCUCGCUCGGGUUCAGUUAGAGCCAACGCCUCGCACACACGCACGUACGUGUACGAGAGAAACGCGCAUUGCUCGGCCCCCGACCUCCCACCGUAACCGGGAACUCCCCAAAAUUUUCCUCCCCCUCGCUUUUACCAUGGUUUUUUCUGUCAUGGACGGCCCAAAGAAUGUCAUGCAGCUGCGUCUCCAGCCCGCCCAGGACGAAAAGCCCAUUUUCUGUCAUGAUUUUUUGUCAUAGAAGUAGGAGCCCACCACAUCUAUGAUGAUACCGGGUUUUGUCACAAUUAUCGUCAAGGAAGUGUCAUAUGUAUGAUAGAAAAAAAAUUCAUUCGGCCCAAAAUGUCAUGGAUGUGUCUUUUUUUGUAGUGCUUUAACUUGUGAAUAGCUUGCUACUUGAUCAUGGGAAGUUUUAUGAGAUGAGCUAAUGUUUAUGAUAUAUAAUGAUGCUAGAAAAGUGUUUGGAACUAUAAUUGAUCAAAUGUAUACACUAUACUAGCAUUCACACUUCAUAAAUUAUUUCUUUUAUCAUUGACCUACUCGAGGACGAGCAGGAAUUAAGCUUGGGGAUGCUGAUAUGUCUCUGAUGUAUCUAUAAUUUAUGAAGUAUUCAUGCCAUGUUAUAACAAUUUUAUAUGGUUUUGGUAUGAUUUGAUUAGAACUAACCCGGACUGACACUGUUUUCAGCAGAACAACCAUGGUGUUGUUUUUUGUGUAGAAAUAAAAGUUCUCGGAAUGGGAUGAAAAUUGACGAAGAAUAUUUUUGCAAAAUAUAAAAAAUACUGGAGCGAAAAGAUACCAUAGAGGAGUCCCGGGGUAACCACAAGGGUGGGGGGCGCCCCCACCCCCCUAGGGCGCGCCCCCUACCUUGUCAUCGCCUCGUGGACCCCCUUGACUUGUCCUCAAUGCCAACACCUCCUAUAAAUCCCAAAAACCUCAGAAAUAAACCUAGAUCGGGAGUUUCGCCGCCGCAAGCCUCUAUAGCCACGAAAAAUCAAUUUAGGCCCUCUCUCGCACCCUGUCGGAGGGGGCCAUCAUCACUGGAGGCCAUGGGGGAGGAUACCGGAGGGGGCCAUUAUCAUCGUCACGGGAGGCCAUGGAGGAGGAAGCAUACGGGGGAGAUCCUCUUCCCCUCUCUCUCAGUGGCGCCAGAGUGCUGCCGUGGGAACCAUCGCCGUGGUGAUCGUCUUCAUCAACAUCACCAUCUUCUUCACCUUCCUCAUCUCUUUUACGCGGUCCACUCUCCCACACCCGCUGUAAUCCCCUACUUGAACAUGGUGCUUUAUGCCACAUAUUAUGAUCCAAUGAUGUGUUGCCGUCCUAUGAUGUUUUGAGUAGAUUUCCUUUGUCUUUUGGGUUGAUUGAUGAUCUAGAUUGGUUUGAGUUGUAUGUUUUAUUUUGGUGCUAUCCUAUGGUGCCUUCCAUGUCGCGCACACAUGAAGGAUUCUCGCUAUAGGGUGUUGCAAUAUGCUCAUGAUUCGCUUAUAGUGGGUUGCUAGAGUGACAGAAGCUUAAACCUGAGUAAGGGGUUGUUUGCGUAUGGGAUAAAGAGGACUUGAAACUUUAAUGCUAUGGUUGGGUUUUACCUUAAUAAUCUUUAGUAGUUGCGGUUCUUGCUAGAGUUCCAAUCAUGAGUGCAUAUGAUCCAAGGAGAGAAAGUAUGUUAGCUUAUGCCUCUCCCCCAUAUAAAAUUGCAAUGACGACUACCGAUCUUGUUAACAAUUGCCUAGGACAAUUCCGCACACCGAUCCAUCAUUAUUCCACACUCACUAUUUAUAAUAUAUAGUAAUAUAUUCUCACUUUAUUUUAACAGCACCUAAUUUUAUAUUUUAGUUCUCCGAUGUCAUGCAAAGUUAUCCUCUUCAUACCCACAACAUAGUUUUAUUUCUCAUUUCUAGAUGGAAGCAAACGUUCGGUGCACGUAGAAUUGUAUCAGUGGCAGAUAGGACUUGAGAGAAUAUUGAUCUUACCUUUAGAUCCUUGUGGGUUCGACACUCCAUACUUAUCACUUCCACCUUUGGAAAUUGCUACGAUGAUUCCUUGCACUUGGGGAUUAUCAUGUACCGAGAUGUCCAAUGAUCUAGCGUAGCAAAUGACAUCAAAAAACGGACAAGCCAUGAAAACAUCAUGCUAGCUAUCUUACAAUCAUGCAAAGAAAUAUGACAAUGAUGGUGUGUGUCACAAUAAAAUGGAACGAUGGACGGUUUAUUGCAAUAUAUCUCGGAAUGGCUAUGGAAAUGCCAUAAUAGGUAGGUAUGGUGGCUGUUUUGAGGAAGGUAUAUGGUGGGUUUAAUGCACCGGCGAAAGUUGCGCGGUACUAGAGAGGUGAGAGUGCGUAUAAUCCAUGGACUCAACAUUAGUCAUAAAGAACUCACAUACUUAUUGCACAAAUUCUAUUAGCCAUCAAAACAAAGUACUACACGCAUGCUCCUAGGGGGUAGAUUGGUAGGAAAAGACCAUCGCUCGUCCCCGACCGCCACUCAUAAGGAAGACAAUCAAAAAAUAAAUCAUGCUUCGACUUCAUCACAUAAAGGUUCACCAUACGUGCAUGCUACGGGAAUCACAAACUUUAACACAAGUAUUUCUACCAAUCCAUAAUUACUCACUAGCAUGACUCCAAUAUCACCAUCUUUAUAUCUCAAAACAAUCAUAAGGAAUCAAACUUCACAUAGUACUCAACGCUCUUUAUAUGAAAGUUUUUAUUAUAUCCCUCUUGGAUGCCCAUCAUACUAGGACUACAUUCAUAACCCAAGCAAAUUACCAUGAUGUUUAGAGACUCUCAAAAUAAUAUAAGUGAAGCAUGAGAGUUCAAAAAUUUCUAUAAAAUAAAGCCACCACUGUGCUCUAAAAAGAUAUAAGUGAAGCACUAGAACAAUUGCCUAGCUCAAAAAAUAUAAGUGAAGCACAUAGAGUAUUCUAAUAAAUUCGCAAUUCAUGUGUGACUCUCUUUAAAGGUGUGUACUGCAAGGAUGAUUGUGGCAUACUAAAAAGCAAACACUCAUAUCAUACAAGACGCUCCAAGCAAAACACAUAUCAUGUGGUGAAUAAAAAUAUAGCCUCAAGUAAAUUUACCGAUAGACAAAGACGGAAGAGGGGAUGCCAUCCGGGGCAUCCCCAAACUUAGAUGCUUGGUUGUCCUUGAAUAUUACCUUGGGGUGCUUGGGCAUCCCCAAGCUUAGGCUCUUGCCACUCCUUAUUCCAUUGUCUAUCAAAUCUUUACCCAAAACUUGAAAACUUCACAACAAAAGACUCAACAAGAAAACUCAUGAAAUCCGUUAGUAUAAGAAAAUAAAUCACCACUUUUUGGUACUAUUGUGAAAUCAUUCUUUAUUUAUAUUGAUGUAAUAUCUAUUGUAUUCCAACUUCUCCNNNNNNNNNNNNNNNNNNNNNNNNNNNNNNNNNNNNNNNNNNNNNNNNNNNNNNNNNNNNNNNNNNNNNNNNNNNNNNNNNNNNNNNNNNNNNNNNNNNNNNNNNNNNNNNNNNNNNNNNNNNNNNNNNNNNNNNNNNNNNNNGAUACUACCCAUAGAUUCAUCAAAAUAAGCAAACAACACAUAGAAAAUAGAAUCUGUCAAAAUCAGAAUAGUCUGUAGCAAUCUGAAAACUUCGUAUACUUCUGUAACUCCAAAAAUCCUUAAAAAAUAGGACAAUAAAGGCAAUUUGCAUAUCAAUAUUGUGUAAACAAUUCAGUGUUUUUCCACACCUCUGUGGUUUUUAAAAAUUCUGACAAUGAGCGCAAAAGUUUCUGUUUUUCAGCAAGAUCAAAUCAACUAUCACCAUAGAUCAUCCCAAAGGUCUUGCUUGGCUCAAACAGUAAAUAAAAACAUGAAAACACAUCUAACCAGAGGCUAGAUGAUAAAUUUAUUCAAAAACAGGAACAAAAAAGUAAGAACAAAAAUAAAUUUGGGUUGCCUCCCAACAAGCGCUAUUGUUUAACGCCCCUAGCUAGGCAUAAAUCAUAUAUCUAGGUAUUGUCAUCUUUGGUAUGCAAUCCAUAAGUAGCCCUCAUAAUAGAUUCAUAUGGCAAUUUAAUUUUCUUUCUUGGAAGUGUUCUUUGCCCUUCCUUAAUGGAAAUUGAAAUCUAAUGUUUCCUUCUUUCAUAUCAAUAAUUGCACCUAUCGUUCUAAGGAAAGAUCUACCAAGAAUAAUAAGACAUGUAGGAUUUCAAUCUAUAUCAAGAAUAAUGAAAUCUACAGGUACAUAAUUCCUAUUUGCAACAAUAAGAACAUCAUUAAUCCUUCCCAUAGGUUUCUUAAUAGUGGAAUCCGCUAGAUGAAAAUUCAAAGAACAAUCAUCAAAUUCAUGGAAACCUAACACAUCACAUAAAGUUUUUGGAAUCGUGGAAACACUAGCACCCAAAUCACACAAAGCAUGGGACUCAUAAUAUUUAAUCUUAAUCUUAAUAGUAGGUUCCCACUCAUCAUAAAGUUUUCUAGGGAUAGAAACUUCCAAUUCAAGCUUUUCUUCAAAAGAUUUCAUCAUAGCAUCAAUGAUAUGUUUAGUAAAAGCUUUAUCUUGAUUAUAAGCAUGAGGAGAAUUCAACAUGGAUUGCAACAUGGAAAUACAAUCUAUCAAAGAAAAAUUAUCAUAAUUAAAAUUCUUGGAAUCCAAAAGAGUGGGUUCAUCGCUACUUAAAGUUUUGACCUCUCCAAUCCCACUUUUAUCAAUUUUUGCAUUAAGAUCUAUAAACUCUGAAUCAUUGGGACGCCUUCUAGCUAAAGUUGACUCAUCUCCAGUCCCAUCUUUAUCAAGAUUUAUAUUAGAAAACAAAGAUUCAAUAGGAGUCACAUCAAUCACUCUAAGAUCUUCAUCAUUAUUUUCACAAAAACUAGAAGAACACACUUUUACAAACCAAUCUCGCUUAGCACGCAUCUUAACGGUUCUUUCUUUGCACUCAUCAAUAGAAAUUUUAAUAGAUUUCAGUGAUUCACUAAUAUCAUGAUUGUGUGGAAUAUAUCUAAUUUUCAAAGAAUCAAUCUCAAGAGAAAUUAUAUCCACAUUCCUAGCCAAAUCAUCAAUCUUAAGCAUUUUUUCUUCAACCAUAGCAUUGAAAUUCUUUUGAGAACCAAUAAGUUCUUUAAUAUUGUUCUCAAGAUCAUAGGGCAUCUUAUUAUAAUUUCCAUAAGAAUUGUUGUAGGAAUUACCACAAUUAUUAGAGGAAUUACUAGGAAACGACCUAGGGUUGAAAUUACCUCUAUACGCGUUAUUACCAAAAUUGUUCCUACCAACAAAAUUCACAUCCAUAGAUUCAUUAUUAUUCUCAAUCAAAGUAUACAAAGGCAUAUCAUUAGGAUCAAUAGGAGCACUCUUACUAGCAAACAAUUUCAAAAGUUCAUCCAUCUUUCCACUCAAAACAUUAAUUUCUUCAAUCGCAUGCACUUUUUACUAGUAGAGGAUCUUUCGGUAUGACAUUGAGAGUAAUUAGCAAUAAUAUUUUCAAGGAGUUUAGUAGCUUCUACUCAAGUAAUUUCCAUAAAAUUACCUCCCGCGGCCGAAUCUAAAAGAUUUCUGGAAGCAAAAUUCAAUCCGGCAUAAAUUUAUUGUAUGAUCAUCCAUAAACUUAAACCAUAAGUAGGGCAAUUUCUUAUCAUCAAUUUCAUCCUCUCCCAAGAUUGUGCAACAUGUUCAUGGUAAAGUUGCUUAAAAUUCAUAAUAUCGUUCCUAAGGGAGAUGAUCUUAGCGGGACAAAAAUACUUGGAAAUAAAAGCAUCUUUACACUUAUUCCACGAAUCAAUACUAUUUUUAGGAAAAGAUGAAAACCAAGUUUUUGCGCGAUCUCGUAGUGAGAACGAAAAUAGCUUCAAUUGAACAAUAUCAUUAUCCACAUAUUUCUUCUUUUGAAUAUCACACAAAGUAUUUGGACGGGAUGCGGCACCUUCACUAGGAAGGCCGGAAAAUUGAUCUUUCAUAACAAGAUUCAACAAAGCGGCACUAAUUUCAUAAGAUGCCGCACUAGUGGCGGGAGCAAUCGGAGUACUAAUAAAAUCAUUAUUAUUAGUAUUGGAAAAGUCACACAACUUGGUAUUUUCUUGAGACAUCGUGACAAAGCAACCAAAAAGCAAACGAAAAGGCGAACGGAGGAAGGGCAAAUAAAAAGGCAAAUAUUUUUGUGUUUUUCUGAAAACAUUUUAGAAGUGAGGGAGAGGAAAAUGAGAGGCAAAUGGCAAAUAAUGUAAUGCAAGAGAUGAGAGUUUAUGGUGGGAACUUGGUAGGCUUGAUGUAGAUCUCCCCGAUAACAGCACCAGAAAUUCUUCCUGCUACUUCUUGAGCUUGCGUUGGUUUUUUCCUUGAAGAGGAAAGGGUGAUGCAGCAAGGUGGAGAUAAGUAUUUCCCUCGGUUAAUAACCAAGGUAUCAAUCCAGUAGGAGAUACACACAAGUCUCCAAUCUAUGCACCUACACAAACAAUCAAACACUUGCACCCAAUGCGAUAAAGGGGUUGUCAAUCCCUUCAUGGUCACUUGCAAAGGUGAGAUCUGAUAGAGAUAGAUAUAAAAGAUUAUUAAAACGUAAAAAAUAAAAGUAAAUAAAUUGCAGCAAGGUAUUUUUGGGGUUUUUGGUUUAUAGACAUGAAAAUAUAUGAUGGAAAAUAUACCCAGGGGCCAUAGGUCUCACUAGAGGUUUCUCUCUUGAAGGAAAAUAAUACGGUGGGUGGAAAAAUUACUAUCUCUAUCAGAUCUCACCUUUGCAAGUGAUCGUGAAGGGAUUGACAACCCCUUUAUCGAGUUGGUUGCAAGUGUUUGAUUGUUUGUGCAAGUGCAUCUAUUGGGGACUUGUGCGUUUCUCCUACUGGAUUGAUACCUUGGUUCUUAACUGUGGGAAAUACUUAUCUCUACUAUGUUGCAUCAUCGCUUCCUCUUAAAGGGAAAAACCAACGCAAGCUCAAGAAGUAGCACAAGGUAACUAGAAACAAAAAUGGGCAAAACGGUAUUGCAAUGCUUGAAAACAAGGCCUAGGGUUCAUACUUUCACUAGUGCAAAAUCUCUCAACAAUGAUAACAUAAUCGGACCAUAUAGCAAUCCCUCAAUGUGCGAAAAAGAAUCACUCCAAAGUUUCCAUCAGAGAACGUAGGACGAAAACAUGCAUCAACCGCUAUGCAUAGAUUACCCAAAUGUCACCUCGGGAAUCCGCGAGUUAAGUGCCAAAACAUACAUCAAGUGAAUCAACAUAAUACCCCAUUGUCACCACGGGUAUCCAUAUGCAAGACAUACAUCAAGUGUUCUCAAAUCCAAUAUUCAAUCCAACAUAAUGAAACCUCAAAGAGCAAGACUCAAUUCAUGAUAAGAAGGUAGAGAGGGAAGAACACCAUAAGAUCCAAAUAUACUAACAAAGCUCGAGGUACAGCAAGAUCAUGCCAAAUCAAGAACACGAGAGAGAGAGAGAGAGAGAGAGAUCAAACACAUAGCUACUAGUAUAAUGCCCGUGCGUUGCCACGGGCUAACAAAAUAUGUGUACAAAUAAAAAUUUCAUGUGACAUGAGAGUCAUAGACUAUUCAGAUGGGAUGAUAUCUCGUGGUCCUCAAGUGGUAGAUAAAUGCUUUUCCUCAUCAUUGUCCUCUCACCUCUUAUCGUCCACCACGCGGCAGUACUCUACUUCCUUCCAUGAUCUGUUCUCCUCCGUGUUUUCUUUCCUAGCUUCCACUUUGCACGAUAGUAAUAAGUGCCUUGUCUAGCUCGGGUUGACCAUCUAUAAUAAAGAUAAUGAAAAGGGCUACCAAAUGUCCGGCGAGAGAUGAAAAUUUAUAAUGAUAUCUCAUACUAUGAAAUCAAUUAUCAAGAUAAACUCUUUGUAACUUCUAUCAAGAUAGUCACAUGGGUACAUUCCACACGCUAAAAUGUGACGAUACUUCAAUUAUACAAUAUUCAAAGUGUAGCUCUAGUCAUCAUCCCGUGCAAUUGCACGGGCUUUCUCUGAAAUACAUUUGUAUUGAAACAUAAUUCUCUAGGUAGUAGCUUUAAGAAAUUGGAAAAUAUAUGUUGUAUAAAAAUGCAAGAAAUAUUGUAUAUCAUCUCAAUAGGACACAUCUUCCUUAAUGAAUUGGAUUAUCAAUAAGAGAGCAAACUGGCAUACAUAUUCUGCCUAGCUUGCUGGUCCACCUCUAUUUACAAUAAUGGAGAAAACAAACAAGCAUAUUUGAUAAUGAAAUAUGUGAUAUGCAUGUCUCUCUGAUCAUAUAUAACAUACCAUAAAGUAUUGUCUCUAUCAAAUUUGCUCUACAAAAAUAUUAUCUAUGGAUACUGAGGUACAGGGCAAUUAUUUAACACUAAGAUGGCAAGAAAAAACAUUGUCCAUUUAUUUUCUAAUCUAUGCAACCAUCAGAAUGUCAUGGAUUAUUGGCCAGGUAAAGUUCUCAAAUAACAUCAUCAGAUCUCUUAUCCAAGUGGCACAGAUCAAGAACAUUUAUCUUCAGUAGUAUUAGAUAGAUAUUGCCAGCCAAAAAAAUAUCACCGACACAUCUCUCCUUUGCUGAACACAUCUUGCCAUGCAAACCUGAAGAAUUCUAUUAAAACUGAACAUAAAUAAAUAGUAUGACUAUCUGAAAAAUAGUACUAACAUUACACAUGAAGAGUAGAAUAACUCAUAAUAUAAGAUGAUUUCCUAGCUAUUAUGAGAAUGAUGAGUUGUCCGCAACACUGCAUCUUCUCCAGAUCACAUUGAUGGCAAUGUAUAGAAGUCAAAAGUAUGAGACAUAAAACAUACAUGUACAUAUGUCUCCACACUGAGUUUAAUAUGAUGAGAUUGAUCCUUGGGCUUAUCAAAGUAAUUCCUAGGAUCCACACAUACCAAAAUCUACAGUAAAAUUUUCAUCGUCUUCGGGACCAAGAAGCUCAUUCAUGUAAUCCAAUGGGAACUAUUAAAAAAGCGCAUGGAUAGACAAGGAAAACAUCAUAACACAAACAUGGUUAUAUCAUAAUUUUAUCUUGCUUACGUGAUGGUGCAGAGUUGGCCCUAGCACAUGGGUGCCAAAGAGGGUUGGGGUGUAGGCAUCGAUCCGUCUCCAAGCUGUCCCAUCCAUCCAUGAUGGUGCAGCGUUGGCCCUGGCAUUCAUAAACACAACUUCCACAUGCUUGCAAAAUUGUUUUUUAUUGAAAAAGUACAGAAGCCUCACAGUAACAAGAUACUAUUAUUUAUCAUGGGGGGGAGUAGUGGCGGCGGCGGCCCUGGGAAAUUGCAAACAUAACAUAUUACAAAAUGGAAGGCAAUGUGUACAGUAACACUCAAAUUAGCAUGCUGACACAUGGAACUGGGAAAUCGAGGGGCAUGUGCAGUAGCUACAAUACCAUAACUUACCAGUCAGAUUAGCAUAACCCACAUCUAUCUAAAUGACAGGAAAUUUGGGCUAAAAUACUUUAGGAUAAACUGGAAACAUAAAAAGAUAGUUCUGCAACGCUCACCUUAAAUAGCAGUACUUAUGAAGCAAGAUAGCAUGUCUUGAAGAUUCAUCUUGUAUGCACCUAGUUGCAGAUAUUCUGAACAUGUACCAAAAACAUACCAAGAGAACUGUGAGUUGCAUAUUCCUAUAGGUAAAUGCAAUGGCUUACAGUACAAAACAUGUGUACUAUCUUCAGUUCUAUCUCCAGAAGGUGUUGCAUUGCCAAUGUGUUAGUGAUAACUCAAAGCAAUAUGCAUGAAGGCAUACAAAAAGAUCUAGCAAUGGCAGGUCAUGAACCAUGAGUUUAACAUAUAGCUAGCCAAAGAUUCACCUCCAUUUUUACUGUAAUUAGUAUGCGUCAGUAACUUUUUAAGCAUAUUCAAGAUUAUGAUCAUGUGCUAACUACUAACUAUAUAAAUUAGUCGUGUGACCAAUUUAUAAACUUAUAUUAUUAUUCAAGCCAAUAUAACCAUACCUAUUAGAAAAAAACAGUAAAGUAAAAAAGGGAUCAAAAUAAUUCCUCACGCUGCACCUGAGUAGGGGUCGCCAUUGAGGCGUGGGCAUGGCCUGAUGCCACAAUACAUUGUCGUCACUUCACAUGACCACAAGUGUAGGGAUCUGGGGGUAUAGAGUCACCGUAGCCAAAGUGCAGUGGCGACAUGGCUGGAGAGGAAGGGAGGGAGCCUGGGGAAUGGAGAAUCCGACUAGGAUACGAGUGGGGGUGUCCGUGGCGGUGCAACUACUUCAGCGGGGUUGAGAACUUGAGACUGCAAGCCAAAUCAGACAACAAGGAAAUUGAAGAGCACCAUCUACCUCUGAAUGGCACACAUCCUGUCUUGAAAAAAGCAGAUCCUAUUUGAGGUAGCCCAAGAAUCCACAUGCGCUGGGGUGAAGAGGAGUUAGGCUGGCAGCCCCAUCUCCUUGGCCACGUGCACUAUGGAUCCCAUGGCAUCGUCGGCGACAACAUGGAACACCGGUGGGACUCCCUUCGUCCUUCCGCACCUUCCGACAAGCUCCGGCGCUUGGUGUCGUGCUCGGAACCAGGGAGCUGGGCAGCGGCCUAUUGAUACAUCUCCAACGUAUCUAUAAUUUUUGAUUGUUCCAUGUUGUUAUAUUAUCAUUCUUGGAUGUUUUAUAAUCAUUUUAUAGUCAUUUUUUGGUACUAACCUAUUGACAUAGUGCCAAGUGCCAGUUGCUAUUUUCUGCAUGUUUUUUACAUCGCAAGAAAUCAAUACCAAACAGAGUACAAACGCAGUGAAACUUUUUGUGAAUUUUCUUUGGACCAGAAGACACCCAGUGGGCCAGAGAAGCACCUGGAGGGUGCUACGAGGGGAGCACAACCCACCAGGGCACGCCUGGGGGCCCAGGCGCGCCCAGGUGGGUUGUGCCCACCUCGGGUGCCCCUUGAACCGCCUCUUUGCUCUAUAAAUACCCCAAUAUUCCAGAAACCCUAGGGGAGUCGACGAAAAUCAAUCCCAGCCGCCGCAAGUUCCAGAACCACCAGAUCCAAUCUAGACACCAUAACGGAGGGGUGCAUCAUGUCCAUUCGUGCCUCUCCGAUGAUGCGUGAGUAGUUCUUUGUAGACCUAUGGGUCCGUAGUUAGUAGCUAGAUGGCUUCCUCUGUCUCUUUUGAUCCUCAAUACAAUGGUCUCUUGGAGAUCCAUAUGAUGUAACUUUUUUUGCGGUGUGUUUGUUGGGGUCGGAUGAACUUUGAGUUUAUGAUCAGAUCUAUCUUUUUAUCCAUGAAAGUUAUUUGAGUCUUCUUUGAUCUCUUAUAUGCAUGAUUGCUUAUAUCCUCAUAUUUCUUCUCUGAUAUUUGGGUUUUAUUUGGCCAACUUGAUCUAUUCAUCUUGCAAUGGGAAGAGGUGCUUUGUAGUGGGUUCGAUCGUACGGUGCUUGAUCCCGGUGACAGAAGGGGAACUGACACGUAUGUAUCGUUGCUACUAAGGAUAAAACGACAGGGUCUAUUUCUACAUAAAUAGAUCUUGUCUACAUCAUGUCAUCGUUCUUAUUGCAUUACUUCGUUUCUCCAUGAACUUAAUACACUAGAUGCAUGCUGGACAGAGGUCGAUGUGUGGAGUAAUAGUAGUAGAUGCAGGCAGGAGUCGGUCUACUAAUAUUGGACGUGAUGCCUAUGUAAUGAUCAUUGCCUGGAUAUCGUCAUGAUUAUUUGAAGUUCUAUCAAUUGCCCAACAAUAAUUUGUUCACCCACCAUUUGCUAUUUUUCUCGAGAGAAGCCACUAGUGAAAUCUGCGACCCCCGGGUCUCUUCUUUAUUAUAUUUGCCUUUGCGAUCUAUUUUCCUUUGCUUUUAUUUUCAUAUCUAUUAAACCAUAAAUACAAAAAUACCUUGCUGCACUUUAUUUUAUUUGGCUUUCGAUCUAUCAAUAUUUACAACUCUCUUACGUCUGUUUGCCAAUUUCUGGCGCCGUUACCCGAAAGGGAUUGACAACCCCUUUUACACGUCGGUUGCGAGUAUUUGUUAUUUGUGUGCAGGUGCUAUUUGCGUAGUGUUGCUUGGUUCUCCUACUGGUUCGAUAACCUUUGUCUAAUCACAGAGGGAAAUACCUACCGUCGGUGUGCUGCAUCAUCCCUUCCUCUGUGGGGAAAUAUCGACAUAGUUCUAGCAGACAUCACCUAUGCGUUGCUACGAAUUGAGGCGGCAGCGUCCCUCGGGUUCAGUGGCGGCAUGGCGAAGAACCCUGGACAAAAUAUAGAGGUCGGUAGAGGGCGCCAGCGAAAGUGGUGUCCAUGCCUCGAGGAGUGGACCCUAGGUUACGAGGACAGGACGGUGGCGCGACGACGCGAUGAGGGGAGACGUCGGGGGGAUCGCGUCUCGCCUCGCGAGGAGGGCAUGCAUCAAAGGGAUCGCGUUCAGGCUUGUGUCAACAUUGUUAAUGGGCCAGCCCAAGUACGCCGCUGUGACAUGACGUGAAAGGUGGGCGAAAGAUAGUAGAGGUGGGAAUGAGGCCAGACUACCAACUCAGACAUUAGGAGUAGAGACUAGUACAUACCCUCAGCCCCGAGGGUGAACUACUCCCUCCUCAUCAUGGUGUCCGCCGAUAUGAUGAAGAUGGCCUCCGGUGAUGAUUUCCCCCUCCAGUAGGGUGCCGGAAUGGGGUCCCGAUUGGUUUUUCGUGGCUACAGAGGCUUGUGGCAGUAGAACUUCUCAUCUAGGGUUCUUUUGAGGGUUUUGGUAUUUAUAGGAAUUUUUGGCGUCGGUCUCACGUCAAGAGGGUGCCCAAGGGGCCCACAAGCUCGGAGCUAGCGCCUGGGGGUAGGGUGCGCCUAGCGAGCUCGUGGACUCCUCGCCCACUUCCUCGCCCAACUCCGGUGCUUCGGGUGUCUCUUUUGGUCCAUAAGAAAUCACCAUAAAUUUUCAGCCCGAGAACUUCUAUUUCUGCACAAAAAACGACACCAUGGCAGUUCUACUGAAAACAGCAUCAGUUCGGGUUAGUUCUAAUCAAAUCAUACCAAAACCAUAUAAAAUUAUUGUAAACAUGGCAUGAAUACUUCAUAAAUUAUAGAUACAUCAGAGACGUAUCAUCUCACCCAAAACUUGAAAACUUCAGCACACAAAUCUCAACAGAAACCUCGUGAGAUCCGUUAGUAUAAUAGGCAAAUCAUAAACUUUAGGCACUGUUAUAAACUCAUACAUAAUUUAUUCUUGCAUAAUACCUAAUGUAUUCUAACUUCUCCAUGACUUAUACCCUCCGAUAUAAUCCAUAGAAUCAUUAAAACAAGCACACUAUGCAAUAAAAACAAAAUCUGUCUAAAACAGAACAGUCUGUAAUGAUAUGAAUAAAAAUUAUAAUUCUGUAACUCCAAAAAUUCUGAAAAUUUAGGACAAUGUGGAAAUUUGUAUAUCAAUCAUGUGUAAAAAUUUCCAAUCAAAAGCACGUUGCAGUGAAUCUUAGUAAUUCCUGGACUCAGAGCUAAAGUUUCUGUUUUUUCACAUAAUCAAGACAACUGUCAUCCAAAUCAUCCCAAAGGCUUUACUUGGAACAAAUACUAAUUAAAACAUAAAAAUACAAUCAUUACAGUAGAAUUGACUGUGCCAAAACACAAGAACAGAAAUUAAAAGCAAAAAUUUAAGAUAAAUAUUAGGUUGACUCCCAACAAGCGCUAUUGUUUUACGCCCAUAGCUAGGUGUAAUGCAUUGUUUGAAGUGUUGUCAUCUUUCGUUUCCAAUUCCUUUUUAAUAAAAUCUUCAAAAACUUUUCUCAUUAAUUCUCUAAUAUCAUGUCCUACUUUUCUAGUAGGAGAACUUAAGUAAUUGAAGGGACUUGAUACGUCUCCAACGUAUCUAUAAUUUUUUUAUUGUUCCAUGUUGUUAUAUUAUCAUUCUUCGAUAUUUUACAAUCAUUUUAUAGCAACUUUAUAUCUUUUUUGGGACUAACCUAUUGACAUAGUGCCCACUGCCAGUUGUUGUUUUUUGCUUGUUUUUUACUUCGCAGGAAAUCAAUACCAAACGGAGUCCAAACGCAGCGAAACUUUUUGUAGGUUUUUUCUGGACUAGAAGACACACGAUGGGCCAAGAAAGUACCUGAGGGGAGCUCCGAGGGGAGCACAACCCACUAGGAUGCGCCUGGGGGCCCAAGCACGCCCAGGUGGGUUGUGCCCACCUAGGUGGCCUCCCGCGCCACCUCUUUGCUCUAUAAACACCCCAAUAUUCCAGAAACCCUAGGGGAGUCGACGAAAACCAAUUCCAGCCGCCGCAAGUUCCAGAACCACUAGGUCCAAUCUAGACACCAUCAUAGAGGGGUUCAUCAUCCUCAUUGGUGCCUCUCCGAUGAUGCAUGAGUAGUUCAUUAUUGACCUACGGGUCCGUAGUUAGUAGCUAGAUGGCUUCCUCUCUCUCUUUUGAUUCUUGGUACAAUGGUCUCUUGGAGAUCUAUUUGAUGUAACUCUUUUUGCGGUGUGUUUGUUGGGAUCCGAUGGACUUUGAGUUUAUGAUCAGAUCUAUGUUUUUAUCCAUGAAAGUUAUUUGAGUCUUUUGAUCUCUUAUAUGCAUGAUAACUUAUAGCCUCAUAUUUCUUCUUCGAAUCUUUGGUUUAGUUAGGCCAACUAGAUCGAUUAUUCUUGCCAUGGGAAGAGGUGCUUUGUGAUGGGUUCGAUCUUAUAGUGCGAUCCCAGUGAUAGAAGGGGAACCGACACGUAUGUAUCGUUGCUAUUAAGGAUAACAAGAUGGGGUCUAUUUCUACAUUAAUAGAUCUUGUCUACAUCAUGUCAUUGUUCUUAUUGCAUUACUCUGUUUCUCCAUGAACUUAAUACACUAGAUGCAUGCUGGAUAGCGGUCGAUGUGUGGAGUAAUAGUAGUACAUGCAGGCAGGAGACGGUCUACUGAUCUUGCUGUUGGGGAACGCGGUAAUUUCAAAAAAAAGUCCUACGCACACGCAAGAUCCAUCUAGGUGAUGCAUAGCAACGAGAGGGGAGAGUGUUGUCUACGUACCCUCGUAGACUGAAAGCAGAAGCAUUAUGACAACGCGGUUGAUGUAGUCGUACGUCUUCACGAUCCGACCGAUCCUAGUACCGAAAGUACGGCACCUCCGCGAUCUGCACACGUUCGGCUCGGUGACGUCCCACGAACUCUCGAUCCAGCUGAGUGUCGAGGGAGAGCUUCAUCAGCACGACAGCGUGAUGACGGUGAUGAUGAAGUUACCGGUGCAGGGCUUCGCGUAAGCACUGCAACAAUAUGACCGAGGUGGAUUAUGGUGGAGGGGGGCACCGCACACGGCUAAGACAGUGUCUGUUGUGUGUUCUAGGGUGCCCCUGCCCCCGUACAUAAAGGAGCAAGGCGGGAGGCCGGCCGGCCCUAGGGCGCGCAAAGGAGGGGAGGAAUCCUCCUUGUAGGAGUAGGAUUCCUCCUUUCCUAGUCCUACUAGGAGGGGAAAGGAAGGAGAGAGAGAGAGGGAGGGAAAGAGGGGGCGGCGCCCCCCCCCCCUCCUUGUCCAAUUCGGACUCCUCAAGGGGGGGCACGGCCAGCCCUAAGGCCCCCUCCUCUCUCUCUCUCAAGGCCCAUGUUGGCCCAUUAGUUUCCCCGGGGGUUCCGAUAACCCCCCCGUCACUUCAAUAAUUAUCCGGUGACCCCUGGAACUCAUCUGGUGUCCGAAUAUAGUCAUCCAAUAUAUCAAUCUUUAUGUCUCGACCAUUUCAAGACUCCUCGUCAUGUCCUUGAUCACAUCCGGUACUCCGAACUACCUUCGGUACAUCAAAACACAUAAACUCACAAUAUCGAUCGUCACUGAACAUUAAGCGUGCGGACCCUACGGGUUCGAGAACUAUGUAGACAUGACCGAGACUCAUCUCCGGUCAAUAAGCAAUAGCGGAACCUGAAUGCUCAUAUUGGUUCCUACAUAUUCUACGGAGAUCUUUAUCGGUCAAACCGCAUAACAACAUACGUUGUUCCCUUUGUCAUCGGUAUGUUACUCGUUCCGUAAUGCAUCAUCCCGCAACUAACUCAUUAGUCACAUUGCUUGCAAGGCUUAUAGUGAUGUGCAUUACCGAGAGGGCCCAAACAUACCUCUCCGACAAUCGGAGUGACAAAUCCUAAUCUUGAUCUAUGCCAACUCAACAAACACCAUCGGCGACACCUGUAGAGCAUCUUUAUAAUCACCCAGUUACGUUGUGACGUUUGAUAGCACACAAAGUGUUCCUCCGGUAUUCGGGAGUUGCAUAAUCUCAUAGUCAUAGGGACAUCUAUAAGUCAUGAAGAAAGCAAUAGCAACAAACUAAACAAUCAAGUGCUAAGCUAACGGAAUGGGUCAAGUCAAUCACAUCAUUCUCUAAUGAUGUGAUCCCAUUAAUAAAAUGACAACUCAUGUCUAUGGCUAGGAAACUUAACCAUCUUUGAUUCAACGAGCUAGUCAAGUAGAGCAUACUAGUGACACUCUGUUUGCCUAUGUAUUCACACAUGUACUAACUUUCCGGUUAAUACAAUUCUAGCAUGAAUAAUAAACAUUUAUCAUGAUAUAAGGAAAUAUAAAUAACAACAUUAUUAUUGCCUCUAGGGCAUAUUUCCUUCAGUCUCCCACUUGCACUAGAGUCAAUACUCUAGAUUACAUAGUAAUGAUUCUAACACCCAUGGAGUCUUGGUGCUGAUCAUGUUUUGCUUGUGAGAGAGGCUUAGUCAACGGGUCUGCAACAUUCAGAUACGUAUGUAUCUUGCAAAUCUCUAUGUCUCCCUCCUUGACUUCAUCGCGGAUGGAAUUGAAGCGUCUCUUGAUGUGCUUGGUUCUCUUGUGAAACUUGGAUUCCUUUGCCAAGGCAAUUGCACCAGUAUUGUCACAAAAGAUUUUCAUUGGACCCGAUGCACAAGGUAUGACACCUAGAUCGGAUAUGAACUCUUUCAUCCAGACUCCUUCAUUUUCUGCUUCCGAAGCAGCUAUGUACUCCGCUUCACACGUAGAUCCUGCCACGACGCUUUGUUUAGAACUGCACCAACUGACAGCUCCACCAUUCAAUAUAAAUACGUAUCCAGUUUGUGACUUAGAGUCAUCUGGAUUAGUGUCAAAGCUUGCAUAGAUGUAACCGUUUACGACGAGCUCUUUGUCACCUCCAUAAACGAGAAACAUAUCCUUAGUCCUUUUCAGGUAUUUCAGGAUGUUCUUGACCGCUGUCCAGUGAUCCACUCCUGGAUUACUUUGGUACCUCCCUGCUAAACUAAUAGCAAGGCACACAUCAGGUCUGGUACACAGCAUUGCAUACAUGAUAGAGCCUAUGGCUGAAGCAUAGGGAACAACUUUCAUUUUCUCUCUAUCUUCUAUAGUGGUCGGGCAUUGAGUCUGACUCAACUUCAAAUCUUGUAACACAGGCAAGAACCCUUUCUUUGCUUGAUCCAUUUUGAACUUCUUCAAAACUUUAUCAAGGUAUGUGCUUUGUGAAUGUCCAAUUAAGCGUCUUGAUCUAUCUCUAUAGAUCUUGAUGCUCAAUAUGUAAGCAUCUUCACUGAGGUCUUUCUUUGAAAAACUCUUGUUCAAGUAAAUUUUUAUGCUAUCCAGAAAUUCUAUAUCAUUUCCAAUCAACAAUAUGUCAUCCACAUAUAAUAUUCGAAAUGCUACAGAGCUCCAACUCACUUUCUUGUAAACACAGGCUUCUCCGAAAAUCUGUAUAAAACCAUAUGCUUUGAUCACACUAUCAAAAUGUUUAUUCCAACUCCGAGAUGCUUGCACCAGUCCAUAAAUGGAUCACUGGAGCUUGCACACUUUGUUAGCAUCCUUUGGAUUGAUAAAACCUUCGGGUUGCAUCAUAUACAACUCUUCUUCCAGAAAUCCAUUCAGGAAUGCAGUCUUUACAUCCAUUUGCCAAAUUUCAUAAUCAUAAAAUGCAACAAUUGCUAACAUGAUACGGACGGACUUAAGCAUCGCUAUGGGUGAGAAAGUCUCAUCGUAGUCAACUCCUUGAACUUGUCGAAAACCUUUUGCAACAAGUCGAGCUUUGUAGACAGUAACAUUACCGUCAGCGUCAGUCUUCUUGAAGAUCUAUUUAUUCUCGGUGGCUUGCCGAUCAUCGGGCAAGUCAACCAAAGUCCACACUCUGUUCUCAUACAUGGAUCUCAUCUCAGAUUUCAUGGCCUCAAGCCAUUUUGCGGAAUCUGGGCUCAUCAUCGCUUCCUCAUAGUUCGUAGGUUCGUCAUGGUCAAGUAACAUGACCUCCAGAACAGGAUUACCGUACCACUCUGGUGCGGAUCUUACUCUGAUUGACCUACGAGGUUCAGUGACAACUUGAUCUGAAGUUACAUGAUCAUCAUCAUUAGCUUCCUCACUAAUGUAACAUCCCAAAUUUUCAAUUUGGAAUGUUAUACAUAGAUCAUCAUUGCAUAUCAUAUUUUAUUUGCAUUUUGCCUCGAUCCUAGAAAUUCCACGCAACUCAAGGACCCAUGGAGAGAGUUGGGGAUUUCGUUAUUUUCAUAUUUGAGUAUUUCUCAAAUCUUGAAAAUAGGAUCAUUUGAUUUUAUUUAUUUUAUCUUCGAUUAUUUCAAAAAAAUGAGAGAGGGAAUAAAAUGACUUUCCCAAAAUAAAGAAAUAAUGAGGAUUUAAUAAAAAAAUCAAAUAAAUUUUUUUUUGAUGUUUUUGCUAUUUCAUUUGAAUUUAGGAAAAAUUGCACGAUUUUCAAAAAAUGCAUUUUAGGACCACAAAAAUGUUCAUCUUGUUCUAAAUAUUUAAUUUGGAUGAUGAAAAUUUAUUUUGGGUAUUUUAGAUUUUUAUUUAUUUUUCUAGAUUUUUUUUCAGUUCGGCAUAAUUAUUUUAAAAAAAACGCGUUGCCGGGGAAACUGAUCCACGAGCACCUAUGGGGCCAGCGGACCGGGCCCCUUUCGGUUCGGCGGGGGGUGGAGGUCGCACGAAGAGCGGAUCGAGGCGAAGCACACGAGCAGUUUUACCCAGCUUCGGAGCUCUCCGGAGAGAUAAUACUCCUACUGCUGCAUGUCUGAGUGUAUUGAGUUCUUGCUCGGGAGCGCUAAUUGCUACAGUACACACUAGCUGCUAACGAGACCGAGCGUGAAUGUUUUCUGCCCUCGAACCCCCCUCUACAUUGCGCAUGGGCCUCCUUUUAUAUGCUCAAGGGGUCACCGAUAGGUGGCAACGCAGACAAGGGUAAAAAUGGAAAAGGGUUGCGGUUGGUACAACUACCUGUACAGUGUUUCAUACCUAACCCUGACGGCAGGGGACAAAGGCAUUAAAUGCCCGUCUGUGUCACCCAAACAGUGCAAGAAAGGGACCGUCAGGGACGCCACCACUUGCCACGACGGCAAUCUUGUCAGCGCCGCUUGCCACCGUGCACCGCUGGCUGCACAGCCUCUUGCCACGCGCGCCUAGAAAGGUCCCAGGGCGACACGUUGGUGGAUGUGCUGGAGCGCGGGUACAGAGUGGUAGCUUGCCGCGGCAAGCGCCUUGCCACAGUUGUUGUCUUGUCGCGUCCGGAAGCUUGUCGCUCACCGGGCCUCGCCGAGACGCGUGGCGCAUCGCGGCAAGUUCCUUGAGAUGCCUUGGUUGGCCUUCCCGGCAAGCUCCUCUUGUCGGGGCCUUGUCUUCUUGGCUUGAACACUUUGUUCUUGAAUGGCUCCAAAGGAACCACGGAGGACCUUGGCGGUCACCCGGCAAGCCCUGCCGCGGGGUGCUGCGACUGCCCGUGCACAAGUUCGGGGUACUAGGGUACCCCUACUCUAGUACACCGAUAGGAGCCCCCGGGCCUGGGCCACACACGGUGCCGAGCGCUGGUGGGCCAGGCCCAAAACAGGGCACGGGCACGCGCAGCCUGGGUUACGCCAUAUCUUACUCCGUAUCCACCGCGCCCUCCCCGAACGGCACGCGUCGAAUGCGGUGUCAUGGGAGAGAUCGUGGGUGGUUUCUUUAUUAGGAAAGACGGAACGUCCGCCCCCUCCCCCUUUAUAAAAAGAGGAAACAAGGGCAGUUCGCCCAUCUCGCCACUUGCCAUCCCAAUCUCAAAAAUCCUCCGCCGCUCCCCCCUUCUUCCCAAAGCCGAAAGAGAGCAGCGCUCCGCCCCCCAUUGCCACCGGCACCACCAACGCCGUCGAUCUCUCUCACCACCUCCGCCAUGGCUCCGAAAACCGGGAAGGUCGUGAAGUCGACCGAGGCGCAGCGGCUCGCNNNNNNNNNNNNNNNNNNNNNNNNNNNNNNNNNNNNNNNNNNNNNNNNNNNNNNNNNNNNNNNNNNNNNNNNNNNNNNNNNNNNNNNNNNNNNNNNNNNNNNNNNNNNNNNNNNNNNNNNNNNNNNNNNNNNNNNNNNNNNNNNNNNNNNNNNNNNNNNNNNNNNNNNNNNNNNNNNNNNNNNNNNNNNNNNNNNNNNNNNNNNNNNNNNNNNNNNNNNNNNNNNNNNNNNNNNNNNNNNNNNNNNNNNNNNNNNNNNNNNNNNNNNNNNNNNNNNNNNNNNNNNNNNGCGGCGCUGCGAAAGGAGCGGGCAACCUCCCCCCCCCCCCAAGCUCGCCGCGAAGGAGCUGAGGGAGUACUACUACCUCUUCUGGUCGACAGAGACGCGAGCGCAUCCGCGCACGAAGGUACUCUCAGCCGCCGCUUCGGAACUGGCUCUGAAUGGAUAUCCCUUCUUCGCGUUGUUCUUCUACUGCGGGCUCUGCCCGCCUUUCUCUGAAUUUUUCUGCGACAUCAUGAACACCUACGGGUUCCGCCUCCUUGACUUCACCCCCAAUGUUGUUCUGACCAUGGCAGUUUUCGCACAUCUCUGCGAAAACUUUGUCGGAGUCCAUCCAAAUGUAGCUCUUUUUCGCCACUUCUUUAUGCCCCGAGUUGAGAGAGGGGAGCCCUUAUCCGGCGGAAUCGCCUGGAUCUCGAGAGCUGGCAAGAAGGAAGCUUAUCUGGAGGGAGAGCUCCGCAGCAAGUGGGAGGAAUGUGGAGCAGACUGGUGCUGGAUUGUCGAGGAGAACCCGCAGCCAUUCACUGCCCAGCGCCAAGCCCCAGUAGUGCGCGGCAACGAUUGGAGCAGCGUGGCCCCGGAAGAUGACAGGUUGAAGAUUGCCGUCACCCGGAUCCUACGCCUCAGGCUUGCCGGGCUCACUGUAGGCGCCGUUGGUGCAGAUUUUCUUCGCCGCCGCAUCGCCCCCCUGCAGGAGAGGAGGAGACCCACCUGGGAGUUCCAGAAUGCGGCGGAUAUCAUGAGGCUGCGCCCGGGCCUCAACUUCAACUUCACAGUCCUGGAGCUGGACGCGAUGCUCCUGGAACUGUUCAAGCACGAUCCUCAACAUCCCGAAGUGUUCAGGUUGCCGAAGGGCAUCGUUCCGCUGUGCAACAACUCCUCGCUCGACCGCAUCCGCGCAAUGAUGCUGUUGUGCGAUUCACAUGGAAUUGUCCCCACUUGGCAAGAGCCUGCAGACGACGUCGUGCAGGAGUUCUUUGACGGCUUGGUAGAAGUGCCCGUCCGCGCCGAUGAACAGAAAAGCCUGACCCGCGACACCACUGAUGCGGAGAUGCAGCGCAUCGCCACUAGGCUGGAAGAGGCGGCGGCAGCCGCUACCGCGGGCGAGUUUGGAUUCACCGUGGAGGAGGCAGAGGCAGCAGAGGCGGCAAGACUUGCCGAGCGAGAGUGGCUUGCCGGCGAGGAAGAGCUUGCCGAGCCUGAUGUCGAGUCGAGUGAGCCCGCCGAGGGUGCGAGCGGCUCGUCGAAGACCAACUCCUCUUCCUCCUCAUCUUCAGACAGCUCGCCGCAAGCAGAGCCCCAAGCUCCACCAAGAAGGCGUCUCCGCAAGGCCAGGGACGUAGUGGGGCGGCAGACGAGUCAACAGCCGCCGCGCCGCGCGACAUGCUCCACCAUGGCAAGCACUGUUGCCGCGGGAGCACCUCACGCUGCUGCGGCAACUGGAGCGGGGUCCUCCCGGACCACCGCUUCUGCUCCUGCCGCUUCUCAAGCCGCGGCGGCGGCCGAAGCUGGGUCGUCUCAGACCACCGCUACUACCCCCGCCAAGCGGCUAAGGGAACCUACUCCUCCGCCUCGUCGCGCCGGAGGUGAGCCGGACAACGACCUCUCCGCGCUCAGCUCCGACGAGGAAGAAGAAGAGUAAGAUUCUCUGUUGUACUUGUAGUUCUUCAAUUCUUGCUGUUUUGUCUUGUAUCUGAUUCGCUUUACUCCGAACUCAUUCCUUUUCAGGACUCUGGCCCAGAGAGCGGCGAAGAGAGCCAAGGUCCCGGUGAUUGUCAUCGAGGACGAACCCACCAUGACAGCAGGGGGUGUGCCCGAGACCACCUUGCCGGACCCGGCAAUCACUCCCCAAAGCAGCCCCCAGCGCAGCCCCCAGCGUAAGUAUAUGGUUUACUCCCCGCUGUUAGGUGCGCAUGGGUGCUCUUUCUUUGCUGACAUCUGACUAUUAGUUUGUGUAGGAGCAGAGCAGCCUCACCAGGAGCGCCCGGAAGCCGCCCCCGACAUGCCAUCUGCUUCGACUACACCGCCAAGGGAGGAUUCCCUGGCAAGGGAGCGUUCUCCGGCAAGGGAAAGUUCUCCGACAAGGGACAGCACCAGCGACCCCCCGGUGGCGGAGACCAUGACUGCAGAACCAAGUGCAGGUAAUCCUCUUGCUUGAAAACUUCCCUUGGGUUCUCCUUCUUCUGAUUUUCUUUUUGGAUAUUUGCUUGACUUUUCUCCCUUUUCCGGCCGUUAGAUCCAUCUUCCAUGGAGCCGAUGGAGACCGAGGUUGCCGGUGAGGAGAACGCGUGCGGCAACACCAACGACGUCGCUGCUACCGAAGAAGCAGCCGACGCAGAUGAUCCUGCCGGCGAGGAGGCCGCCAAAGUUGCCGCCGCAGAAGCUGGUGAGGGGUCUGGCGAUCGCACUAACGGCCCUGAGGCCGCAGGAGCGGCAGGCGCUACGCCGACCGCCGAUCCCUCCACAGCUGCCGCAGCGUCAGGCUCCGAAGAGCCCCAGCCCGACGCCUAUUUGAAGGCCGGCGAUGGCAUCUUCAUCAAGCUCCCCUGGGCGUCAAGCUCCAGGGUGCCAGUCGAAGGAGAAAUCUUGGAUGGAGAGGUGCUCGCCUCCACUGGGCUGACGCUGGUUGACACGCCGAGCAGCAGCAGCGGUGAGCCUGAGGAGGAGCAGCUGCUGCGGAAGCUGUUGUCGCUCUACCGCGCUCGGCAGGCCAAGCUGGAAUCCCGAGAAGCGCUUGUCGCGAAGGCGGGAGUGGAUAUCGAGAAUCGCACGGAGGAGCUCCGGGGUAUUAACCAGGAAGCCCUCCGGUCCCUGGCAGAGGAGCGGAGGCAACUCGCCGAGGAGCGGAAAGCAUUCCUCCUCGAGAAGGCUGAAGUUGAGGAGCAACAGCGGCUUGCCGCCGAGAAGCUGUCUGUGCAGGAGGGCGAGUUGGCGCAGCGGAAGGUCAAUCUUGACAGCCACGAGGAGGAGCUUGCUGCGCGCGAGCAAACAUUUGGUGGGGCUCUCAAGCAAGCGGAGGAUACUGCUGCAGCUGCCGAGGCCGCCAAGAAGGAGCUGGAGACGAAGGUGACGCAGCUGGAGGCCGAUCUCAAGGCGAGCGGUGAAGAGCUUGCCGCGCUCAAGCGUGAGCGCGAGAAGGACGCCUACACCCUUGGCGAGCUGCAGGGUCGUCUCGCCGAGAGGAGCAAGGAGCUUAGCGCCUCCAAGGACUCCAACGCAGAUCUUGAGUUGAAGCUGACUACUUUGACCAAGACGCUGGACGGCGCCAGGGAGCAGGAGGUGGCCUUGAAGGAGAAGAUCAAGGCUGAAGAGGCGCUGCUGGCGAGGGCUGCCGUCACCCAGAACACUUUUAGGGAGAAUGUGGAGCACUGGACGGAGGGUCUCGUGGAUAUUGCCGCAGCCAUCGACAGGGAGCUGGCGCAGCUGGGGAUGGAGGAUCUCGGGUAUCCCUCCGAUGAGAACCUCCAACCCAGCGCCAAGCUCACCUUGUUCUUCAAAGGCGUGGCGACGGCCCUCCAGCAACUCCGGGAGAAUAUCCCAAAGCAGCUGGCCGAUGAGUCGCGCAAGAUCUGCGCGGGAGCUCUUCAAAAGAUGUUGGUGAAGGUGGCCUUCCGCAACCCGGGCCUCAACCUCACCAACGUCCUCAGGACCUUGCCGCCAGAUGCCGAUCUGGAAGCGCUCAAGACCCUUGUCGCACCCAUUGUGGACAAGGUGAGCGGGAUCAAGAGGGUUGAGGGCGAUCGCGUAGAUUAGGCCGCCCGUUUUCUCCUUUUCUUGUCGCUGCCGAUCAUGUUAUGAGAACAAUCUAUUAGAGCUGCGACAAGUUAUCUUGUAAUAUAACUCUAUUUUGGGUAGCGAUUGCUAUCUUAUUUCCUCUACUUGAUUCCUUCCUUUGUAUGUUUUUGCCCUACACUUUUAGGGAACUUGCCGGUGCAGGCACCUUAGCCGCGAGCGCUGAGUGCGGGACGUCAGCAGCCUGCUGGCGGUGCCGCGACCGACGGGAAACCUUGUCGCAACUAGUCGCAGCUCACUUAAGUUGUUGAGCGGACUCGAAACAAAGUAAGGGCGCAACUAGCUACGAGUUGGUUCCUCCGCGCACAGGUUUUCCAUACGAAGCAUGGUCAUUCGAGGAAGAUAACUUAAAAAAUUUAAAACUGAUUGCUCAAACUUUGGCAACUUAGCUUUUCUGUCGUUUGCUUCCUAGUAAGAUGAAACUUUCUUGAACGACGCCUGGUCCACACCAUUAUCUUCUCCUUUCCCCCUGGCAAACUUGUGGGCGAGGGAACCUUCCUUUCUUUGAGAAAAAGAAAGAAGAGAAAAUAAAGAUAUGGAGCCUUACGGCUUGUUAUUGCUUACCGGGGGUAGGCGCUGCACAAAGUGUCAGAUAACACGUACAAAAGAAAACAUGAAAUUGACAAGAUGUGCGGAGCACAUGAGCUUUACUUAUGCACGGGGUCUGCGCCCGGCUUUGUACAAAGGAUUACAUGCAACAUCGGCAAGACUUAUACAAAAGGUGGUUGCCGGAACAGGUUCCGGCAACCGCGCCCUACGGGUAAAACUUACGAAGAUGCUCAAUGUUCCAGGAGUUGCUCACCGGAAUGCCAUCUUCGGUCUCAAGGCGGACAGCGCCAGGCCUAGUGACUCGUUUCACCCGGUAAGGGCCUUCCCACUUCGGCGUCAACUUGUUGGAAUUCUUGGCGGACUGAACGCGCCGAAGAACAAGGUCGCCUUCCUCGAGACUUCUGGCAUUAACUUUGCGGCUAUGGUAGCGGCACAAAGAUUGCUGGUAUCGAGCAGCUCGUACAGCGGCCUGAAGACGGUCUUCCUCAAGGAGCAGCGCGUCAUCUUGCCGCAGCUGCUCUUGCUCAAGCUCAUCACAAGCAAGCACUCGAGGUGACCCGUAUACGAGUUCCAUGGGGAGAACUGCCUCUGCUCCAUAGACUAGAGCGAAAGGUGUCUGGCCAGUGGCUCGAUUUGGCGUCGUCCUGAUCGACCAAAGAACCACCGGCAGCUCUUCAAUCCAGUUCUUUCCGCACUUGUGUAGCCUGUCGAAAGUUCUGGUCUUGAGCCCGCGCAGCACUUCAGCAUUUACCCUCUCCGCUUGACCGUUGCUUCUCGGGUGAGCAAUAGAAGCGAAGCAGACCUUGGCGCCAAGAUCUUGGACGUACUGCAUGAAGGUGCGCCUCGUGAAUUGCGUGCUGUUGUCGGUGAUGAUCCUGUUAGGGAUCCCGAAGCGGCAAACAAUUGACCUGAAGAACUUGACUGCUGACUGUGCUGGCACCUUCCUCACUGCUUCCACUUCCGGCCACUUUGUGAACUUGUCGAUUGCGACGUACAAGUACUCAAAGCCCCCGACAGCUCGGGGAAAGGGGCCGAGGAUGUCGAGCCCCCAGACCGAAAAUGGCCAGGAUAAAGGGAUCGUCUGGAGAGCUUGAGUUGGCUGGUGUAUCUGCUUGGAAUGGAACUGGCACGCUUCACACUUGGUUACUUGUGCAGUUGCAUCCUGGAGGGCUGUCGGCCAAAAGAAACCUUGCCGGAAUGCUUUGCCGGCAAGUGCUCUUGCGCCAAUGUGGUGACCACAUAUGCCUCCAUGUAUCUCUGCCAACAGCUUUUGUCCGUCUUCCCGGUGAAUACACUUCAAUUUCACACCGUUGAGUCUUCUUCUGUACAGUGUGUUGUCGACAAACUGGUACAUACUUGACUGCCGGGCUACUCUUUCCGCUUCUUCUUGCUCUUCGAGAAGUUCUCCUGUCUGAAGAAAACGGAUAAUCUGCUGUGCCCAUGCUGGAGCUUGCGGCUCGACAACAAGGACUAAAGGCACAUCUGCUGCUGCGGGAACAUCCGCUUCUACGGCGAGAACCUGUGGCUCAGCCGGAGCUUGACGUUCCCCGGCAAGCUUGCCAGAGCAAAACUUGUCGGGAGCGUCUGCUUCAAGAGAACAAACCCUAGGGCUUGCCGGAGCACACUGCUCCUCAGCACCCUUGGUGUUGAUCUUGGGGACCUUCUUGGCGGCGGCUUCGGGGAGCUCGGCCAGAAAAUAGUCACCAGAAAUCAACUUCCUCUUCUUGCUCUGUCCAGUUGAUGGCGUUACAGACGGUUGAGUCAGUUUGAGCACAAAGAUCCCUGGUUCCACAGGUAACUUAAGUGCGGCGCACUUUGACAGGCCAUCGGCAAUGUCGUUAUCAGCUCUUGGAACAUGCUCCAUCUGUAGGCCGUCAAAGUGCUCUUCUAGCUUUCUCACUUCAUCAACGUAAGCUUCCAUCAACGGACUCUGAUAAUUCUUGUUCACUUGGCGGACGACAAGCUAUGAGUCACCCCUGACGAUGAGCUUCUUGAUCCCAAGGUCUGCCACGAUCCUGAGACCGGCAAGCAAACCUUCAUACUCUACGGUAUUGUUUGUUGCUUGCUCCCUGGGAAAGUGCAUCUGGACUACGUACUUGAGGUGCUCUCCGGUGGGUGCAACAAGUAGCACACCCGCACCGGCGCCUUGCAGCGAGAAGGCACCAUCAAAGUACAUCAGCCACUCUUUGCUUGCUUCCUUGACGGGGAUGCUCGUUUCUGGAAUUUCUUCAGCCGGUGUUGGCGUCCACUCUGCUAUGAAUUCUGCCAAUGCUCUGCUUUGGAUAGUUGAAGUGCUCUCAAACUUGAGGCCAAAGCUUGACAGUUCCAGUGCCCACUCGACAAUCCUGCCUGUUGCUUCUGGAUUCUGCAAUAUCCUUUUCAACGGAAAACGAGUGACAACUGUGAUCUCAUGUGCUUGGAAGUAAUGGCGCAGCUUUCUCGAGGCCAUGAGAAGGCCGAAAAGCAAUUUCUGCACACCAGAGUACCUCAACCUAGCCCCCUGUAGAAGGGAACUGACAAAGUAAACUGGGCGCUGCACCAUUCUCUUCUGCAUCUCCUCACGCGCCUGCACAGAUCCAUCUUUGUCGGGACCAGAGCUUGUCGGUGAAGCCCCCUGCUUGUUGUUGGAUGCAUCUGCCGUGGCUGCUGGCUCAUCAUCCGCCUCCCUCUCCGCUACUAACGUAGCACUAACCACUUGAUUGGUUGCCGCUAUAUACAGCAGCAACUUCUCUUGUGGCUUAGGUGCGACAAGUGUUGGAGUGGAGGACAGGUAUCUCUUUAAGUCCUGCAGCGCAGCCUCCGCUUCCGGAGUCCAUUUCAUUGGACCUGCCUUUUUCAAUAUUUUGAAAAACGGCAGGGCGCGCUCAGCAGACCUAGAGAUAAACCUGCUGAGAGCAGCCACGCAAUCGGUAAGUCUUCAUACAUCCUUGACGUGCUUUGGUGCUUCAAUCUGCUCAAUGGCCUUGAUAUUGUCGAGAUUGGCUUCAAUUCCCCGCUGAGACACGAAGAACCCGAGAAGCUUGCCGGAGGGGACUCCAAACACACACUUCUCGGGGUUAAGCUUGAGGUUAAUCUUGCGUAGAUUUGCAAAGGUUUCGUCUAAAUCUUGAAUCAGAGUUGCCUUGUCCUUGCUCUUGACCACUAUGUCAUCCAUGUAGGCUUCCACAUUUCUGUGUAUUUGUGGCUCAAAAGCGUCAUGGACUACCCUUGCAAAUGUUGAACCAGCAUUCUUUAAACCGAAAGGCAUCCGUAUGAAACAGUAUGUGCCACAUGGAGUGAUGAAUGCGGUCUUCUCCCCUCUUCUGCCAUGAAGAUUUGAUGGUAUCCUGAGUAUGCAUCAAGAAAUGAAAGCAAGUCACAUCCGGCCGUGGAGUCAACAAUCUGGUCAAUGCGCGGCAAGGGAAAUGGGUCUUUGGGACAAGCUUUAUUAAGAUCGGUAAAGUCGAUACAAAGCCUCCAUUUCCCGUUUGCCUUGCGCACGACUACAGGAUUGGCCAACCACGUAGGAUGGAGCACUCCUCUGACAAGGCCUGCCGCUUCCAACUUCUUGAUUUCUUCUGCGAUGAAUUCUUGGCGCUCCACUGCUUGUUUCCUGACCUUCUGCUUGACGGCCGCGCAUGAGGACAGACGGCAAGAUGGUGCUCGAUUACUUUCCUGGGAACACCAGGGAUGUCAGACGGUUGCCACGCAAACACGUCGACGUUCGCCCGCAGGAAAGCAACGAGCGCGCUUUCCUAUUUAGGGUCGAGAGUGGCACUGAUGGUGAACGUACCACUAGUGCCGUCCUCCUUGGCGGACACCUUCUUGGUCUCUGGCGGAGCUACCAUUGUCUUCUUACACUUGCCGGUGGAGCUCGAUGGUGCGUCCUCGACGGUAGUGCAGCACUCCGAAGAGGUGCGCUUGCCGGAGUGGGCAUCAGAACUCUUGCCGGACUUGGUCUUCUUCUUCCCCCCGAGAUCUUCAACGGCAAGUGACUUGCGAUCUGUUGCGGCUGCUGCUUCCCGGUAGAUCUUAUCGGUGCAGAUAAGAGCAUCCUUCUUGUCGCCAGGGACAGAGAUGACACUUAUCGGGCCUGGCAUCUUCAGCAUGUUGUAUGCAUAGUGAGAGGCUGCCAUGAAUUUGGCGAGUGCUGGACGGCCGAGUAUCCCAUUGUAAGGCAAUGGAAAGUCAGCAACGUCAAAAGUGACCCUCUCAGUCCUGAAGUUCAACUCGCUGCCAAAUGUCACCGGCAACGUGAUCUUUACCUUCGGCUUGCUCCUUCCCGGAUUGAUUCCUUGGAAUGUGCCGGUCUCUUCAAGCUCGCUGUCAGGGAUCUGGAGUUUCUGAAGUACCGUGGAGGAGAUCAGGUUCAAGCCGGCCCUGCCGUCAACUAGCAUCUUAGUGACCUUGAGGUUGCGGAUAGUUGGUGAAACCAACAUCGGCAAGCACCCAACCGCAGUUACGCGAUCAGGGAGGUCCUCAAUAUCAAAGAUGAUAGGCGUGCUGGACCAUUUCAGAGGCUUGCGUGACUCGACGGGUGGUUCUGCCGCAUUGACUUCCCGCACCCACUGCUUGAGCUGACGGUGUGAAGUAUGCAGAGAAGCACCGCCGUCAACGCACAGGACCUCUGUGGCUUUCUGGAACACCUGCUCAUCGGUCUCGUCAUCAUCCAUAUCUUCAUCAUCGUCGUCAUCUUCACCCUUGUCGCGGCCGCGGGGAGGUCUGUCUCCUUGCCGCUGCUUGGCCUUGCCGCGGCGUCCUCCUCGGCCGGGGCGUUUCUUGCCGGAUCCUCCAGCGCCUUCUUGGGCCUUCUCCUUGUCGCGUCGCUCGUAUUCAGCCUUUUGCUGCUCGACAAGCUGCUCGACCUUCUUGCAGCUCUGGAGGUCAUGGCCCUUGGUGCGGUGGAUCUUGUAGUACUGCUUGUUGGUGCCGUCCUGCUUGUCGGCGACCGCCACAACCUCCUCGCCGGAGCUACCAGUUUUGGCUUUCUUGGCGCCACCUCCGUUGCCGAACUGCUCAACGACUAGCACAUCUUUGCCUUUCUUCUUCAUGUUGUUCCGCCGCCGGUUUUUCUUUGUCGGGGCAGCAUCUUUGCUAUCAGAUCCUCCUGCUUCUGCAUUCUCUUCGGGGAGUUUCCUCCCUUCCUCAGCACAUGCACACUUGUCGGCCAAGGCAUAUAGCUCACUAACGUCUCUGAUCUUGCACAUCGCCAUCUCCUCCCGCAUCCUGCGGUUUCGCAUGUUCUGAUGGAACGCGCUGAUGACCGCGACAGGGUGGACAUCUGGGAUGUUGUGUUGUACACGGCUGAAUCUCUGAAUGUACUUGCGCAGGGACUCUCCUUCCUUCUGGGCGAGCAGAUGAAGGUCGCUCUCUUGGCCAUGAGGCUUGUGGCCGCCUGUAAAUGCGCCGACAAACUGAUGGCAUAGGUCGGCCCAGGAGGAUAUGGAGUUGUCCGGCAAGUGCAUGAGCCAGGAUCUGACAUUGGGCUUGAGCACCAGCGGGAAGUAGUUGGCCAGGAUCUUGUCGUCCCGCCCUCCGGUAGCUUGCACCGCGAUGGUGUAGAUGCUGAGGAACUCCGACGGAUGCGACUUGCCGUCGUACUUCUCUGGUACGUCUGGCUUGAAAUUCUUCGUGUCGGGCCACUAGACUUGCCGCAGCUCACGAGUGAACGCAAGGCAACCUACCGCGUACAGCAAGUCUCCUGGUUCCCCUGGUGCAUGCAUGUCGACAGAGGGCCCAACGCGCUGGUCCGAUUGACGCCGCGCUUCUCUUCGGCGCUCGAUGCGAGUACGAGCGUCUUCUUGUUGUCGUUCAUGAAGAACUUGGCGCUGGUCGCGACGAGCUCGUGGAUCUAAUGACGCGGUGGAGUCCCUGUCGAGGUAGAUCCGGCGAGUCGGCGAUCUUGGCCUUCGGGGCUGAGAGUGCACGGUGAUUGCACCCCCACCGGUUUUGUCGCCAUUGGCUCGUGCCUGGCAGUCUUGCCGCGGCUGUGAUGUACUCGGCUGCCGUGGAGUGUCACCGUUGGCGAAGCCGAUGAGACUCUGAAUGGUGGCCCUCCAUUUGUCGAUCUUGUCUGCCGUCGGAGGGUAAUCCAGGAGCAGUUGAGCUCGUGCCAAAGCUUCUGCUGGAGUGGUGGGUGGCAGUGGCGAACGGUGCGAGGAGCGGGAUAUGCUCGGACUUCCAACUGGGUUGGAAGGAGCAGUAUCCCAUCCAGGCGACCGUGUCUUGCUCGUGCCAGCAUGUUGGUGUGCAUGCUGGUCUUGAGCACCCCGAGAUCCACCAGCUCGAUCUUGGUCCAAAGAACGUAUGGUACCGCGAGUACCAUGAUGCUGUCGGUCCGGCGCCUCCUGAGAUGGGCGCGGUGCAUGUACGGACGUCGAGGUCUGCGCAGCCUUGUCCUUGGACCUGGCAGCACCGUGAGCUCCCUCGUCGACGCCCGUUCUUCCGCCGGAGUCUACCCCACCACCCGUUUGCUCCGGUGGUGGUGGGAUUGACGCGGACGGAUCAGCCGCCUCCGAAGCCUUCUUCUUCGGUGGCAUGUCGAUGGAAAAGAUGGAAAUCUGGCUCGCGUGAACGCUGGAUCAGGUUCACACAACCUCGAUGCCCCCUACCUGGCGCGCCAUAGAUGCCGGGGAAACUGAUCCACGAGCACCUAUGGGGCCGACGGACCGGGCCCCUUUCGGUUCGGCGGGGGGCGGAGGUCGCACGAAGAGCAGAUCGAGGCGAAGCACACGAGCGGUUUUACCCAGCUUCGGAGCUCUCCAGAGAGAUAAUACUCCUACUGCUGCAUGUCUGAGUGUAUUGAGUUCUUGCUCGGGAGCGCUGAUUGCUACAGUACACACAAGCUGCUAACAAGACCGAGCGUGAAUGUUUUCUGCCCUCGAACCCCCCUCUACGUUGCGCAUGGGCCUCCUUUUAUAUGCACAAGGGGUCACCGACAGGUGGCAACGCAGACAAGGGUAAAAAUGGAAAAGGGUUGCGGUUGGUACAACUACCUGUACAGUGUUUCAUACCUAACCCUGACGGCAGGGGACAAAGGCAUUAAAUGCCCGUCUGUGUCGCCCAAACAGUGCAAGAAAGGGACCGUCAGGGACGCCACCGCUUUCCACGACAGCAAUCUUGUCAGCGCCGCUUGCCACCGCGCACCGCUGGCUGCACAGCCUCUUGCCACGCGCGCCUGGAAAGGUCCCAGGGCGACACGUUGGUGGAUGUGCUGGAGCGCGGGUACAGAGUGGUAGCUUGCCGCGGCAAGCGCCUUGCCGUAGUUGUUGUCUUGUCGCGUCCGGAAGCUUGUCGCUCACCGGGCCUCGCCGAGACGCGUGGCACGUUGCAGCAAGUUCCUUGAGAUGCCUUGGUUGGCCUUCCCGGCAAGCUCCUCUUGCCGGGGCCUUGUCUUCUUAGCUUGAACACUUUGUUCUUGAAUGGAUCCAAAGGAACCACGGAGGACCUUGGCGGUCACCCGGCAAGCCCUGCCGCGGGGUGCUGCGACUGCCCGUGCACAAGUUCGGGAUACUAGAGUACCCCUACUCUAGUACACCGACACACGCCCGCGCCCGACUAGGCCAAAGCCCAGCCGAGCCAGGCCGGCCCAACCCAGCGCCGUCGCCUCCCCUCGCGUGCGNNNNNNNNNNNNNNNNNNNNNNNNNNNNNNNNNNNNNNNNNNNNNNNNNNNNNNNNNNNNNNNNNNNNNNNNNNNNNNNNNNNNNNNNNNNNNNNNNNNNNNNNNNNNNNNNNNNNNNNNNNNNNNNNNNNNNNNNNNNNNNNNNNNNNNNNNNNNNNNNNNNNNNNNNNNNNNNNNNNNNNNNNNNNNNNNNNNNNNNNNNNNNNNNNNNNNNNNNNNNNNNNNNNNNNNNNNNNNNNNNNNNNNNNNNNNNNNNNNNNNNNNNNNNNNNNNNNNNNNNNNNNNNNNNNNNNNNNNNNNNNNNNNNNNNNNNNNNNNNNNNNNNNNNNNNNNNNNNNNNNNNNNNNNNNNNNNNNNNNNNNNNNNNNNNNNNNNNNNNNNNNGAAAACCACUUCGGGUUUUUUUCAGAAAACCCUCGAUUUGUUUUUUUAGAUCGGUUUAUUUAUUUGACGAGCGUUCGCUCGUUCGUUCGUUUUAACGGACGUAUCCAUCGUUUAGAUCUAGAUAACGAACGUUCGUUCGUUAAUCUGUUCGUCGUUUUUCUUUUUCUCAGAUUUAUUCCGCGAUUUUUCUGAUCGUGAUUUCUGAUCCGAUUUUCGUUUUAGUUUAUCUUUUCGCUCGUUUAUCGGAAUCAGGCGAUUCAAGCGCCUAGAGUUUCGUCUCGAAACCCUCUUUCUGAAUAAUAUACUAAAACCAGUUUUUGCUUCUGUAAAAUUUGACUUAGGUCCAGAUUAGUAAACGAAGCUAAUUUCUUUCGCAGUUUGAGUUUUGUUUCUUGGUUCGAUUUGAUUCUUUUUGCAAACCGGAGUUCUUAAGUUGAACUUUCUGGUUAGAUCUCUUAUUUGAGUUUUACCCGUGCAUUAGAUGAGUACUUAUUGUAUGCUUGUUGCUUGUUUGUUUGCGAUAGAUUACCCGGAUUGCGCCGCUUGCUACUUCGAAUCCCUAGGUUUCGCGGAUAAUCAGCAAGGCAAGUAACACUUUGAUCAUACUUCUUUAUUACCCAGUUUUUAUGCAUUAGUUCAACCCUCAAACAAUUUCAUGAUUAGGAUCUGAUUAAUAUGUGGGUUUUGGGAAGUAGAUGAGGUAGUACCUAUUACCUGUUUUAUUAUCAAACCCUUGGGAGUUACUUCUACGUUUGCUUAUUAUGCCAUGCUAUGCUAGUAGACGUGGAUUGGGUGAGUGAAUUUCCAUGACAGAUGUGAGAUUGUUAAUUAAUGGUUUAUUUAAAGUGGCAACUUAAAUACACAUCUGGGUGAAUUGAGGUACCUGGGUAUUCCAGGAUUGCCUGUUUGUUUUGGACCGCCACCCAGGCCCAAAGGGAUCAUAAGAUUAUUCAUGCUAGAAACUUCCGUGUGCAGCCACAUGCUAUUAUGGGCUCUAGCAUAGUUGACUAAGUCGUGCGAACUCUUACAGUGGUAGACUAGCAGAUGUAGGGGAUGUAGGUUGGUACGGUCUACCCAUCGUAAGGUGCUAGCGCUUCUGAAAGACUAUGUCUCAGUCAUCCGUUUCUCAAACACCAUGAAGUGCGAGAAAACAAACGGAGGAGAUCGAGUCGUGUGGGGAAAAGUGCGCAAACCUCUGCAGAGUGUAUAAACUAAUCAUGAUUAGCCGUGUCCCCGGUCAUGGACGUUUUGAGUAUCUAGUACUUGGAUUAUCAAGUGAAUCUCAUCAUGUUACUAUAAUUAAUAUUGUUGGGUUUUUAAAUGAUGAUGUUACUUAAUUGGGAUUGAGAAUGGUGUCAACCAUUCUCAAUGUUUAACAACCACCAUGAUAGUUAAAUAAAUUUAUUCCUUUGCAGUAGGGAAAAAUUGGCUUUACGCAAAACUGUAACCAUAGAGCUUUUCCACCAGCCAUAUAUGCAUGUAGUAUAGCUUUACUUUUUCAUUACUCUCUAUGUGUUACUUUGCCAGCAUAUUCCAUGUGCUGACCCGUUUUCGGGUUGCAACGUUCAUGUUGCAGACUUUUUCAGAUGAGGAGUAAGAUGCUUUAGGAUCGUGGUUCUAUACUCAAUGAUGUCGUUGGAGUUGAUGGACUCACUUAUCUUCCAAGCCUUCCGCUAUUAUCGUUAUUAGAUGGCCUUAAGCCAUAUUUAUUGUAAUAAGUUCUCUUUGGAGACAUUCGAUGUAAUAAGUGUGUGAUUGCUACUCUAUUAUAAAUCCUUCAAGUAUUGUGCGUGUCAGCAUUACUGAUCCAGGGAUGACACUGAUGCAUAGAGAUUAGACUGUUUGAGGUCUGGUCGCUACAAGAUGGUAUCAGAGCACACGCUGAUUGUAGGACACGACCACUAAGCAAAAGCCAUAGAUCACUACUCUUUCUCUUCUCAUUUCUAACUCCUCAUCUUUUCUACUCUUCUAGGAUGGCGGAUGCAAGGAACAAGUUAAUGCAACCGGACGAAGAUACACCCUUUGGAUGACAUCUGAAGGAAGUUACCAAGUACCUGAAGAUCAGAGUACCAAGCUUCACCGGAACCUACAACGCCACUCUACCCGAAGAAGAGCGCUGGAUGAUUCAAGUUCAAGUUCCAGGAAGGACGUUCAUGCCAGUCACUGAGUCCAUAGAGUUUUCUUUUGAUGCACCAACCUGGAGUUUAGGAAAGAGCAUGGCAGCUCACAUUACCAUGGGACGUAUUGGAGAAGUUUACCACAAGGAGCUUAAGGAUACGACCUACCAGAUUUGUGGGCGCCAAGAUGAGCAAUGGGAGAUGAUCAACACCAGGAAAGACAGAUCAAUUGCAGCUUUCAUCCAGGAGUUAAACCAGCACAUUCGACGCCAGGAGAACCAGAUGUGUGCAGGCAUGAUGGAUCUAAAGAAGGCCAUGACCAAUAUCAUGGAACUGGAGGAAGAACUCAAGUCUACACGCGAUGGAUAUGAGGAGGAAAUAUCAAUGCUAGUUGAGAAGAAUGAUGAUCUGAAGAAGAAGCUAAGAGUGUUCAUGGGAUUCCCAGCAACUAGAGAAGACGAAGAUUGCACUUGUCCCGAGAACUACAUCAUCAUCGACGACACCGACUCAGACCCAGAUGAUAGUGAUGAUGACUAUGAUGAUGAAGCUGGAACAUAUAUCAUGGAGUCUUCAUCGGAGCAGUUUUCUAGUAGACCACCAUAACAGUAGUAGAAUUUCCCUCCAUGUAUCUAUUAUAGUCCGAGCACUUUGUAACGAUAGAUAGACCGUUGUAUGCCCUUGCUUGUUUGAAUGAAGUGUUUUGAUUGCUAUUUGUCUCAUGUGCAUAUGGGUAGUGUUUUCCCUCUAGACCUCAUUCUAUUCUAUAUUCUCUUCUUUUCUAAACCCUCAGAAGCCUCCGAGGCAUGACAACGGAUUUGCUUUCCCGCCGGAGCUCACUCAGUUGAUCCAGCAGCAGAAUGCAUUGAUGCAGAUACUAGUCCAGAAUCAGAAUCAGGGGAACAACAACAACAACAAUCCACCACCGCCACCACCUGUUGAUCUCUUAACCCGUUUUCUUAGGCUGAAUCCGCCGGUGUUCUCCAGUAGCACCGAGCCGAUUGUUGCAGAUGGUUGGCUUCGCAAGACAGCCAGGGAGUUGACCACUUCAGGAUGCACAGAUGCGGAGAAGGUAUGAUUUGCCGCACAUCAGCUUGAGGGACCCGCAGCAUCAUGGUGGGAGAAUUUCACAGCCACUUAUCCAGUAGACACUGUCACAUGGGAUCAGUUUCAGCAGGCCUUUCGUACUGCUCAUGUUUCAGCAGGAGCUAUGGCCAUGAAGAAGCGUGAGUUUCGCAACUUGCGCCAGGGAGGAAGAACGGUUGGCCAGUAUGUGGAUGACUUCAGUAAGCUAGCAUGUUAUGCCCCAGAUGACGUUGCUACGGAUGCAGCUAAGCAAGAGAAGUUUCUGGAAGGGCUGAAUGAUGAGCUGAGCAUGCAGUUGAUGGUAGCAAGUUUCCACAACUACCAGGAGUUGGUCGACCGUGCUCUCAUGAUUGAAGGGAAGCAGCAGCAGAUUGAAAACCGCAAGAGGAAGUAUGGACAAGGGAAGUACAAUUCUGGAGCUCAGCAGAAGCCCCAUUUUACUCCGAAGUCAGGAGGACAGUUCCAGCAUACCCAUGGAGGAGGUAGUUCACACAAUCACAAUGGUCCCAAGAAUGGUACCGGGAAUGGAGCAAGUAGUAGCCAGAACCGUACCAACCCCUCAACACCAGCCAAGAGAGAUCUGAGUCAAGUCACUUGUUUUAAGUGCCAGAAGACCGGACAUUACGCCAAUGAAUGUCCUGAAGGCCAGAAUGGAAGCGGUAAUGGAAGCUCCGGGAAGAAGCCAAACCCUUUCAACAGAGGACAGGUGAACCACGUUAGCGUGGAGGAGGUUGAAGCCCAACCCAAUGCAGUAAUAGGUAAGUUUUUGGUUAAGUCAUUUACUGCACUCAUUCUUUUUUAUACUGGUGCAUCGCAUUCAUACAUGUCAAGGGGAUUUGUGGAUAAAUAUAAAUUGCCAACCCAAGCCCUCAAGGCACCCAUGUUAGUAACCUCGCCAGGAGCAGAGAAUAUGGCCAGGCUAUGGUGUGAUCGGUUACCAUUAAGGAUUGGUAACUAUGUGUUCCCCUCAGACCUAAUAGUUUUGGAAUCACAAGGAUUGGAUGUGAUAUUAGGCAUGGAUUGGUUAUCAAAAUAUGGUGGAAACAUUGAAUGUGCCAGUAAGACAAUUCUACUUACAACCCCAGAAGGGAAGAGGAUCAAGUAUGUUUCCAGGCAUAAGCCGAAGGGGAUGCACGCAAAUUCCUUAUCAGGAGUUUUGCAGGAAGGAAGAGUUGUUUCGUAUGCGUCACGACAGCUUAAACCUCAUGAGUUGAAUUAUGCCACACAUGAUUUGUAGUUAGCAGCCGUAGUGCAUGCAUUGAAGACAUGGAGACAUUUUCUUAUCGGAAAUCAUUGUGAGGUGUACACGGAACACAAGAGUUUGAAGUACAUUUUCACGCAAAAGGAGUUGAAUCGCAGGCAAAGGAGAUGGUUGGAACUCAUCAAGGAUUAUGAUAUGAGAUUGCAGUAUCACCCCGGAAAGGCUAACGUAGUAGCCGACGCGUUGAGCCGUAAGAGCCAUGUCAAUACACUCAUGAUCGCAGGACUGCCAAAGGAGUUAGCCGAGGACUUUUGCGAACUAUGUUUGGAGAUAGUUCCGAGAGGCUAUGUAGCAACGUUGGAAAUUCAGUCGACUUUGAUGGAUAAGAUCAGAGAAGCUCAGAAGACCGACAAGGAGAUUGCUGAGAUAAAGAAGAAGUUGAGCAAAGGAAAAGCCAAGGGAUUUCAUGAGGAUGAGCAUGAUACCUUAUGGUUUGAAGACCGUGUUUAUGUGCCCAAUGACCCAGAGAUCAGGAAGUUGAUUUUGCAAGAGGCCCAUGAUUCGCCGUAUUCAAUUCACCCAGGGAAUACCAAGAUGUACUUGGAUUUGAAAGAGACUUUAUGGUGGACCAGAAUGAAGAAGGACAUUGCCGAGUAUGUAGCAGUUUGUGAUGUAUGUCAGAGAGUAAAAGCAGAGCAUUAGAAACCAGCAGGGUUGUUGCAACCAUUGCCGAUACCCGAAUGGAAGUGGGAUAAGCUAGGCAUGGAUUUUAUUAUGGGACUACCCAGGACUCGUUCAGGCUAUGACUCGAUUUGGGUGGUAGUCGAUCGUUUGACGAAGGUAGCUCAUUUCAUUCCAGUGAAGACUACUUACACCAGUGCCAAAUUGGCCAAGAUAUACAUGACCAGGAUCGUAUGUCUGCAUGGAGUUCCAAGGAGCAUUGUAUCAGAUAGAGGAACCCAGUUCACCUCAAAGUUCUGGAAUCAGUUGCACGAAACCUUGGGUACCAGGCUAGAGUUCAGUACCGCUUUUCAUCCGCAGACAGAUGGACAGACCGAAAGAGUCAAUCAAAUUUUAGAGGACAUGCUGAGAGCUUGUGCGCUAGAUUAUGGAUCUAGUUGGGACGACAAUUUGCUAUAUGCGGAGUACUCUUACAACAACAGUUAUCAAUCCAGUUUGAAGAUGGCCCCUUUCGAAGCCUUAUACGGAAGGAGGUGUAGAACCCCGUUGUCUUGGGACGAAGUUGGAGACCGUCAGUUGUUUGGACCAGAUUUGAUUAAAGAGUCUGAACAGAAAGUGAAGUUGAUUCGCGGCAGGCUCAAGGUAGCCCAGUCCAGGCAGAAAAGCUAUACUGACGCAAAACGCAAGGAGACAGUUUACAAAGUUGGCGAUAGAGUUUAUCUUCGGGUAUCUCCACUUCGAGGAGUUAAGCGUUUUGGUGUUAAAGGAAAGUUAGUGCCGCAUUUUGUGGGACCAUACAAAGUUUUGGAGCGUAUGGGAGAGGUUGCCUACAAGUUGGAAUUGCCUGAGGGAUUGUCAGGAGUUCACGACGUGUUUCAUGUUUCCCAGUUGAAGAAGUGCCACGCAGAGAUGGCUGAUAUACCACUGAGAGAUACAGUGCUACUAGAGGCGAUUCAGUUGGACAGUGAUUUGACCUAUGAGGAGAAACCAGUUAAGAUUCUUGAGUAUGCCAGCCGAGUCACCCGCAGCAAGGUUAUCAAGUUCUAUAAGGUUCAGUGGAGCCACCACACCGAGGAUGAAGCCACCUAGGAGCGACAGGAAAAUUUGCUGAAGGACCACCCUCACCUAUUUUCUAACCAACCCGAAUCUCGAGGGCGAGAUUCAUCUUAAGGGGGGGUAGGUUUGUAACAUCCCAAAUUUUCAAUUUGGAAUGUUAUACAUAGAUCAUCAUUGCAUAUCAUAUUUUAUUUGCAUUUUGCCUCGAUCCUAGAAAUUCUACGCAACUCAAGGACCCAUGGAGAGAGUUGGGGAUUUCGUUAUUUUCAUAUUUGAGUUUUUCUCAAAUCUUGAAAAUAGGAUCAUUUGAUUUUAUUUAUUUUAUCUUCAAUUAUUUCAAAAAAAAAUAUGAGAGAGGGAAUAAAAUGACUUUUCCAAAAUAAAGAAAUAAUGAGGAUUUAAUAAAAAAAUCAAAUAAAAUUCAUUUUGAUGUUUUUGCUAUUUUAUUUGAAUUUAGGAAAAAAUGCACGAUUUUCAAAAAUGCAUUUUAGGACCAAAAAAUGUCCAUCUUGUUCUAAAUAUUUUAUUUGGACGAUGAAAAUUUAUUUUGGGUAUUUUAGAUUUUUAUUUAUUUUUCUAGAUUUUUUUCAGUUCGGCAUAAUUAUUUAAAAAAACGCGCCCGCGCCUGACUCGGCCGAAGCCCAGCCGAGCUAGGCCGGCCCAACCCAGCGCCGCCGCCUUCCCUCGCGCGCGCCGCCGUGCGCAGCACGGAUGCCGAGGAGAGUCCGAGCCGGACUCCUCCCCGGGCGCCCCCUUUCCCAAGCCACCGCCCCCCCCCUAUAUAAAGCGCCGCCGUCGCCCUCUUGGAGCCCCAAGCCGCCGCCGCCGAACCCUGCCGCUGCAGCCGCCAGCCCUGCCGCCUCGCGCUGCCGCCGCCGCCGNNNNNNNNNNNNNNNNNNNNNNNNNNNNNNNNNNNNNNNNNNNNNNNNNNNNNNNNNNNNNNNNNNNNNNNNNNNNNNNNNNNNNNNNNNNNNNNNNNNNNNNNNNNNNNNNNNNNNNNNNNNNNNNNNNNNNNNNNNNNNNNNNNNNNNNNNNNNNNNNNNNNNNNNNNNNNNNNNNNNNNNNNNNNNNNNNNNNNNNNNNNNNNNNNNNNNNNNNNNNNNNNNNNNNNNNNNNNNNNNNNNNNNNNNNNNNNNNNNNNNNNNNNNNNNNNNNNNNNNNNNNNNNNNNNNNNNNNNNNNNNNNNNNNNNNNNNNNNNNNNNNNNNNNNNNNNNNNNNNNNNNNNNNNNNNNNNNNNNNNNNNNNNNNNNNNNNNNNNNNNNNNNNNNNAAGAAAACCACUUCGGUUUUUUUUUAGAAAACCCUAGAUUCAUUUUUUUAGAUCGGUUUAUUUAUUUAACGAGGGUUCGCUCGUUUGUUCAUUUUAACGGACGUAUCCGUCGUUUAGAUCCAGAUAACGAACGUUCAUUCGUUAAUCUGUUCGUCGUUUUUCUUUUUCUCGGAUUUAUUCCGCGAUUUUUCUGAUCGUGAUUUCUGAUCUGAUUUUCGUUUUAGUUUAUCUUUUCGCUCGUUUAUUGGAAUCAGGCGAUUCAAGCGCCUAGAGUUUCGUCUCGAAACCCUCUUUCCGAAUAAUCUACUCAAACCAGUUUUUGCUUCUGUAAAUUUGACUUAGGUCCAGAUUAGUAAAUGAAGCUAGUUUCUUUCGCCGUUUGAGUUUUGUUUCUUGGUUCGAUUUGAUUCUUUUUGCAAACCGGAGUUCUUAAGUUGAACUUUCUGGUUAGAUCUCUUAUUUGAGUUUUACCCGUGCAUUAGAUGAGUACUUAUUGUAUGCUUGUUGUUUGUUUGUUUGUGAUAGAGUACCCGGAUUGCGCCGCUUGCUACUUCGAAUCCCUAGGUUUCGCGGAUAAUCAGCAAGGCAAGUAACACUUUGAUCAUACUUCUUUAUUACCCAGUUUUUAUGCAUUAGUUCAACCCUCAAACAAUUGCAUGAUUAGGAUCUGAUUAAUAUGUGGGUUUUGGGAAGUAGAUGAGGUAGUACCUAUUACCUGUUUUAUUAUCAAACCCUUGGGAGUUACUUCUAUGUUUGCUUAUUAUGCCAUGCUAUGCUAGUAGACGUGGAUUGGGUGAGUGAAUUUCCGUGACAGAUGUGAGAUUGUUAAUUAAUGGUUUAUUUAAGGUGGCAACUUAAAUACACAUCUAGGUGGAUUGAGGUACCUGGGUAUUCCAGGAUUGCCUGUUUGUUUUGGACCGACACCCAGGCUCAAAGGGAUCAUAAGAUUAUUCAUGCUAGAAACUUCCGUGUGCAGCCACAUGCUAUUAUGGGCUCUAGCAUAGUUGACUAAGUCGUGCGAACUCUUACAGUGGUAGACUAGUAGAUGUAGGGGAUGUAGGUUGGUACGGUCUACCCAUCGUAAGGUGCUAGCGCUUCUGAAAGACUAUGUCUCAGUCAUCCGUUUCUCAAACACCAUGAAGUGCGAGAAAACAAAUGGAGGAGAUCGAGUCAUCUGGGGAAAAGUGCGCAAACCUCUGCAGAGUGUAUAAACUAAUCAUGAUUAGCCGUGUCCCUGGUUAUGGACGUUUUGAGUAUCUAGUACUUGGAUUAUCAAGUGAAUCUCAUCAUGUUACUAUAAUUAAUAUUGUUGGGUUUUUAAAUGAUGAUGUUACUUAAUUGGGAUUGAGAAUGCUGUCAACCAUUCUCAAUGUUUAACAACCACCAUGAUAGUUAAAUAAAUUUAUUCCUUGCAGUAGGGAAAAAUUGGCUUUACGCAAAACUGUAACCAUAGAGCUUUUCCACCAGCCAUAUAUGCAUGUAGUAUAGCUUUACUUUUGCAUUACUCUCUAUGUGUUACUUUGCCAGCAUAUUCCAUGUGCUGACCCGUUUUCGGGCUGCAACGUUCAUGUUGCAGACUUUUUCAGACGACGAGUAAGAUGCUUUAGGAUCGUGGUUCUAUACUCAGUGAUGCCGUUGGAGUUGAUGGACUCACUUAUCUUCCAAGCCUUCCGCUGUUAUCGUUAUUAGAUGGCCUUAAGCCAUAUUUAUUGUAAUAAGUUCUCUUUGGAGACAUUCGAUGUAAUAAGUGUGUGAUUGCUACUCUAUUAUAAAUCCUUCAAGUACUGUGCAUGUCAGCAUUACUGAUCCAGGGAUGACACUGAUGCACAGAGAUCAGACUGUUUGAGGUCUAGUCGCUACAACUAAUUGGUGUAGGAGUCACAGGAGCUGAUUCCUGUGAUGAACUACUUUCCAAUAAGGGAGCAGGUACAGUUACCUCAUCAAGUUCUACUUUCCUCCCACUCACUUCUUUUGAGAUAAACUCCUUCUUUAGAAAGGAUCCAUUUUUAGCAACGAAUAUCUUGCCUUCAGAUCUGUGUACCCAACAGUCUCUUUUGGGUAUCCUAUGAAGACACAUUUCUCCGAUUUGGGUGCGAGCUUAUCAGGUUGAAGCUUUUUCACAUAAGCAUCACAACCCCAAACUUUAAGAAACGACAGCUUAGGUUUCUUGCUAAACCACAAUUCAUAUGGUGUCGUCUCAACAGAUUUAGAUGGUGCCCUAUUUAACAUGAAUGCAGCUGUCUCUAAUGCAUAACCCCAAAAUGAUAGUGGUAAAUCGGUAAGAGACAUCAUAAAUCGCACCAUAUCUAAUAAAAUGCAGUUACGACGUUCGGACACACCAUUACUCUAUGGUGUUCUAGGUGGCGUGAGUUGUGAAACUAUUCCAAAGUUUUAAAUGAAGACCAAACUCAUAACUCAAAUAUUCACCUCCACGAUCAUAUCGUAGAAAUUUUAUUUUAUUGUUAUGAUGUUUUCCACUUCACUAUGAAAUUCUUUGAACUUUUCAAAUGUUUCAGACUUAUGUUUCAUCGAGUAGAUAUACCCAUAUCUGCUCAAAUCAUCUGUGAAGGUUAGAAACUAAUGAUACCCGCCGCGAGCCUCAACACUCAUCGGACCGCAUACAUCAGUAUGUAUUAUUUCCAAUAAGUCAGUUGCUCGCUCCAUUAUUCCGGAGAACGGAGUCUUAGUCAUCUUGCCCAUGAGGCAUGGUUCGCAAGAAUCAAGUGAUUCAUAAUCAAGUGAUUCCAAAAGCCCAUCAGCAUGGAGUUUCUUCAUGCGCUUUACACCAAUAUGACCUAGACGGCAGUGCCACAUAUAAGUUGCACUAUCAUUAUUAACUUUGCGUCUUUUGGCUUCAAUAUUAUGAAUAUGUGUAUCACUACGAUCGGGAUUCAAUGAACCAUUUAUAUUGAGUGUAUGACCAUAGAAGGUUUUAUUCAUGUAAAUAGAACACCAAUUAUUCUUUGACUUAAAUGAAUAACCGUAUUGCAAUAAACAUGAUCCAAUCAUAUUCAUGCUCAACGCAAACACCAAAUAACAUUUGUUUUAGGUUUAACACUAAUCCCGAAGGUAAAGGGAGUGUGCGAUGGUGAUCUUAUCAACCUUGGAAUCACUUCCAACUCACAUCAUCACCUUGCCCUCAACUAGUCUAUGUUUAUUUUGCAACUCCCGUUUCGAGUUACUACUCUUAGCAACUGAACCAGUAUGAAAUACUGAGGGGUUGCUAUAAACACUAGUAAAGUACACAUCAAUAACAUGUAUAUCAUAUAUACUUUUGUUUACUUUGCCAUCCUUCUUAUCCGCCAAGUAUCUAGGGUAGUUCCACUUCCAGUGACCAUUUCCUUUUGCAGUAGGAGCACUCAGUUUCAGGCUUGGGUCUAGCUUUGGGCUUCUUCAUGGGAGUGACAACUUCCUUUUCAUUCUUAUUGAAGUUCCCUUUCUAUCCCUUUACCCUUUUUCUUGAAACUGGUGGUCUUGUUGACCAUCAACACUUGAUGCUCUUUCUUGAUUUCUACCUCCGUAGCCUUUAGCAUUGCGAAGAGCUCAGGAAUUGUCUUAUCCAUCCCUUGCAUAUUAUAGUUCAUCACAAAGCUCUUGUAGCUUGGUGGCAGUGAUUGAAGAAUUCUCUCAAUGACACUAUCAUUAGGAAGAUUAACUCCUAGUUGAAUCAAGUGAUUGUUAUACCCAGACAUUUUGAGUAUAUGCUCACUGACAAAACUAUUCUUCUCCAUUUUGUAGCUGUAGAACUUAUUGGAGACUUCAUAUCUCUCAAUCUGGGCAUUUUCUUGAAAUAUUAACAUCAACUCCUGGAACAUCUCAUAUGCUCCAUGACGUUCAAAACGUCGUUGAAGUCCCGGUUCUAAGUCGUAAAUCAUGGCACACUUGACUAUCGAGUAGUCAUCACCUUUGCUCUGCCAGACGUUCAUAACAUCUGGCGUUGCUCCUGCGGCGGGUUUGGCACCUAGCGGUGCUUCCAGUGUAAUUCUUCUGUGCAACAAUGAGGAUAAUCCUCAAGUUAUGGACCCAGUCCGUGUAGUUGCUACCAUCAUCUUUCAACUUAGCUUUCUCUAGGAACGCAUUAAAAUUCAAUGGAACAACAGCACAGGCCAUCUAUCUACAACAACAUAGACAUGCAAAAUACUAUCAGUUACUAAGUUCAUGAUAAAUUAAAGUUUAAUUAAUCAAAUUACUUAAGAACUCACACUUAGAUAGACAUCCCUCUAAUCAUCUAAGCAAUCACGUGAUCCAAAUCAACUAAACCAUGUCCGAUCAUCACGUGAGAUGGAGUAGUUUUCAAUGGUGAACAUCACUAUGUUGAUCAUAUCUACUAUAUGAUUCAUGCUCGACCUUUCGAUCUCAGUGUUCCGAGGCCAUAUCUGCAUAUGCUAGGCUUGUUAAGUUUAACCCGAGUAUUCUGCAUGUGCAAAACUGUCUUGCACCCGCUGUAUGUGAACGUAGAGCUUAUCACACCCAAUCAUCACGUGGUGUCUUGGCACGACGAACUUUCGCAAUGGUGCAUACUCAGGGAGAACACUUGUACCUUGAAAUUUAGUGAGAGAUCAUCUUAUAGUGCUACCGCUGAACUAAGCAAAAUAAGAUGCAUAAAGGAUAAACAUCAUAUGCAAUCAAUAUAAGUGAUAUGAUAUGGCCAUCAUCAUCUUGUGCCUUUGAUCUCCAUCUCCAAAGCACCAUUAUGAUCACCAUCGUCACUGGCUUGACACCUUGAUCUCCAUCGAAGCAACAUUGUCGUAUCGCCAACUAUUGCUUCUACGACUAUCGCUACCACUUAGUGAUAAAGUAAAAACAAUUACAGGGCGAUUGCAUUGCAUACAAUAAAGCGACAACCAUAUGGCUCCUGCCAGUUGCCGAUAACUCUGUUACAAAACAUGAUCAUCUCAUACAAUAAAAUUUAGCAUCAUGUCUUGACCAUAUCACAUCACAACAUGCCCUGCAAAAACAAGUUAGACGUCCUCUACUUUGUUGUUGCAAGUUUUACCUGGCUGCUACGGGCUGAGCAAGAACCAUUCUUACCUACGCAUCAAAACCACAACGAUUUUUCGUCAAGUGUGUUGUUUUAACCUUCAACAAGGACCGGGCGUAGCCACACUCGAUUCAACUAAAGUUGGAGAAACUGACACCCGCCAGCCACCUGUGUGCGAAGCACGUCGGUAGAACCAGUCUCGCGUAAGCGUACGCGUAAUGUCGGUCCGGACCGCUUCAUCCAACAAUACCAUUGAAUCAAAGUAUGACAUGCUGGUAAGCAGUAUGACUAUUAUCGCCCACAACUAUUUGUGUUCUACUCGUGCAUAUAACAUCUACGCAUAGACCUGGCUCAGAUGCCACUGUUGGGGAACGCAGUAAUUUCACAAAAAAAAUCAUGUACACGCAAGAUCCAUAUAGGUGAUGCAUAUCAACGAGAGGGGAGAGUGUCUUCUACGUACCCUCGUAGACCGAAAGCGGAAGCGUUAUGACAACGCGGUUGAUGUAGUCGUAUGUCUUCACGAUCCGACCUAUCCUAGUAUCGAAAGUACGGCACCGUCGCGGUCUGCACACGUUCAGCUCGGUGACAUCCCACGAACUCUCGAUCCAGCUGAGUGUUGCGGGAGAGCUUUGUCAGCACGACGGCGUGAUGACGGUGAUGAUGAAGUUACCGGCACAGGGCUUCGCCUAAGCACUGCAACGAUAUGACCGAGGUGGAUUAUGGUGGAGGGGGCACCGCACACGGCUAAGACAAUGUCUGUUGUGUGUUGUACGGUGCCCCCUGCCCCCGUAUAUAAAGGAGCAAGGGGGAGGCCGGCCGGUGAUGUCUACUACGCAACCUUCUUCUUGUAGACGUUGUUGGGCCUCCAGGUGCAGAGGUUUGUAGGACAGUAGCAAAUUUCCCUCAAGUGGAUGACCAAAGGUUUAUCAAUCCGUGGGAGGCGUAGGAUGAAGAUGGUCUCUCUCAAACAACCCUGCAACCAAAUAACAAAGAGUCUCUUGUGUCCCCAACACACCCAAUACAAUUGUAAAUUGUAUAGGUGCACUAGUUCGGUGAAGAGAUGGUGCUACAAGUGCAAUAUGGAUGGUAGAUAUAGGUUUUCAUAAUCUGAAAAUAUAAAAACAGCAAGGUAACUAAUGAUAAACGUGAGCGAAAACGGUAUUGCAAUGCUAGGAAACAAGGCCUAGGGUUCAUACUUUCAAUAGUGUAAGUUCUGUCAAUAAUAAUAACAUAAUUGGAUGAUAAAUAUCCCUCAACAUGCAACAAAGAGUCACUCCAAAGUCACUAAUAGCGGAGAACAAACAAAGAGAUUAUGGUAGGGUACGAAACCACCUCAAAGUUAUUCUUUCCGAUAAAUCCAUUGGGCUAUUCCUAUAAGUGUCACAAACAGCCCUAGAGUUCGUAGUAAAAUAACACCUUAAGACACACAUCAACCAAAACCCUAAUGUCACCUAGAUACUCCAAUGUCACCUCAAGUAUCCGUGGGUAUGAUUAUACAAUAUGCAUCACACAAUCUCAGAUUCAUCUAUUCAACCAACACAUAGAACCUCAAAGAGUGCCUCAAAGUUUCUACCGAAGAGUCAAGACGAAAACGUGUGCCAACCCCUAUGCAUAGGUUCAUGGGCGGAACCCGCAAGUUGAUCACCAAAACAUACAUCAAGUGAAUCAAUAGAAUAACCCAUUGUCACCACGGUUAUCCCACGCAAGACAUACAUCAAGUGUUCUCAAAUCGUUAAAAGACUCAAUCCGAUAAGAUAACUUCAAAGGGAAAACUCAAUCCAUUACAAGAGAGUAGAGGGGGAGAAACAUCAUAAGAUCCAACUACAAUAGCAAAGCUCGCGAUACAUGAAGAUCGUAUCAGCUCAAGAACACGAGAGAGAGAGAGAGAGAGAUCAAACACAUAGCUAUAGGUACAUACCCUCAGCCCCGAGGGUGAACUACUCCCUCCUCGUCAUGGAGAGCGCCGGGAUGAUGAAGAUGGCCACCGGUGAGGGAUCCCCCCUCCGGUAGGGUGCCGGAACAGGGUCCUGAUUGGUUUUUGGUGGCUACGAAGGCUUGCGGCGGAACUCCUGAUCUAUUCUAUUCCCCGAAGGUUUUAGCGUAUAUUGGUAUAUAUAGGAGGAAGAAAUACGUCAGGGGGGCACGAGGGGCCCACGAGGGUGGAGGGCGCGCCCAGGGGGUGGGCGCGCCCCCUGCCUCGUGCUCUCCUCGUUCAUCCCUUGACGUGCACUCCAAGUCUCCCGGAUUGCUCUCUUUCCAAAAAUAACUUUCCCGAAGGUUUCAUUCCGUUUGGACUCCGUUUGAUAUUCCUUUUCUUCGAAACACUGAAACAAGGGAAAAACAGAAACUGACACUGGGCUCUGGGUCAAUAGAUUAGUCCCAAAAGUAAUAUAAAAGUGCAUAGUAAAGCCCAUAAAACAUCCAAGAUGGAUAAUAUAAUAGCAUGAAUACUUCAUAAAUUAUAGAUACGUUGGAGACGUAUCAGCAUCCCCAAGCUUAAUUCCUGCUCGUCCUCGAGUAGGUAAAUGAUAAAAGAAAGAAUUUAUGAAGUGUGAAUGCUAGCAAGUGCAUAAGUUUGAUCAAUGAUAAUUUCAAUUACCUUUUCUAGCAUCAUUAUAUGUCAUAACAGUAGCUCAUAUCAUAAAACUUUGCAUGAUCAAGUAACAAACUAUUCACAUGUUAAAGUAUAGAACAUAAACUUUCUUGAAAACUAACAAACUAUGUUAUUAGUCAUCAUACAAUUACAAUUCAUCUUAUUUUCAGGAAGAGUCUAUGUCAGAGGUUUGAUUCAUCAAACUUCACAUACUCAACUAUCAUUUAGUCUUCCAUGAUUGCUACCACUCAAAGCACAUUUUUAGAACAAAUAGUAUUCAUCGAACACAGAGAAAGAUAGGGGCUUAAUGUUUCGCCUCCCAACCUUUUACCUCAAGGGUAAUGUCAACAAUAAUAAUUCGUGCUCAAAUAUAUUUGAAUGGCCAUAUAUGCUUAGAUCUUUCCAUCACAUGAUGCUUGCCAACUAAAGAGUAGGUUGGAAUGAGAAGGAAUACUAUUGACUCUUGCAUAAAAGUAAAAGAUAGGCCCUUCACAGAGGGAAGCAGGGAUUUGCAGAGGUGCCAGAGCUUGAAGCAAAAACAGAGAUGAAAAUAAUUUUGAGAGGUAUGCUUUCAUUGUCAACAUAACGACCAAGAGUUCCCAAUAUCUUCUAUACUACAUACAUUAUAGGCGGUUCCCAAAUAGAAAGGUAAAUAUUUUUACUUCCCCUCCACCAACAAUCAUCAAUCCAUGGCUUGCCCGAAACAACGGGUGCCUCCAACUAACAUCAAUCCUGGGGGAGUUUUGUUUGUAAUUAUAUUUUAUUUGAUUUCGAUCUUUUGAUCAUGGGACUGGGCAUCCCAGUAACCAGCCAUUUUCUCGUGAAUGAUGAGCGGAGUCCACUCAUCGUGAGAAUAACCCACCUAGCAUGGAAGAUACUGCUAGCACCUAGUCACCACAUGAGCGAUUCGGGCAUACAAAACAGAUUAUUAUUUGAAGGUUUAGAGUUUGGCACAUGCAAAUUUACUUGGAACGGCAGGUAAAUACCGCAUAUAGAUAGGUAUGGUGGACACUCAUGGAAGAAAUUUGGUUCAAGGGAUUUGGAUGCACAAGCAGUAUUCCCGCUUAGUACAGAUAUUUUGGCUAGCAAAGGAUUCUAAAUAGCAAGCACCACAUGUUAGAGGAUCCAUAACAAUAUAACUUCUAUACAAAUAUACCCAAGCAUAACUCAUUAUGUUGUCUUCCUUGUCCAACUUCAACUAAUUUGCUCUGGUUUGAAAAUAAUUAAUGGGGCUCACAAUCAUAGAAGAUGUCCAAGAUAGUAUUAUAUGUGAAAUCUCUCUUCCUUCAAUAUUCUUUCAUGAAUUAUUCAAGUGACCAAUACAAUGUUUGCUAACAUUCAAAAAAUUUACCACCUCUACUUCUUAUAUGUGAAGUCAUUACUCGCCAUGGGAUAAGCAUAUGAAACAUGUAAAAUUUCAGAUUUAUUACAUUCAAAUCAUUCAACCAUUUACUCAUAGGAUAUAAGUGAAGCACACGAGUAAAUGACAAACUACUCCGAAAAGAUAUAAGUGAAGAUCAAUGAGUAGAUAAAUAAUUAUUUAGCUAUGUGAAGACUCUCCCAUUUAAUAAUUUAAGAUCUUGGUAUUUUAUUCAAACAGCAAGCAAAACAAAAUGACAUUUCAAGGAUAGCAAACAUCACGUGAAGAAGCAAAAACUUAGGAUCAACCGAAACUAACCGAUAGUUGUUAAAGAAGAAAGGUGGGAUGCCAACCGGGGCAUCCCCAAGCUUAGACGCUUGAGACUUCUUGAAAUAUUAUCUUGGGAUGCCUUGGGCAUCCCCAAGCUUGAGCUUUUGUGUCUCCUUAAUUCCUUUUACUAGUUAUGUCGCGCGCACGGUUUUUGCGCCUCCGCUGGAGCGCCCGGAGCGGUAGCGCGCGCAAAAAACACUAAUUUUCCAGCGCGGCGCUUAUAUAACGCGUCUGUUGGAGACGCUCUCAGUGUAGUACAGUACAGACGGCAAAGCCCCCAACUACUUGCAAGCUCAAAUGUGCUUGCCAUGAACAGUAAAUUCGUUUUAAAAAACGAAUUCUUUCGGCAAACUUUAAUAGAUGUUUUUGAGAGCUUGCAAAGUUUCAUUUUGAAAUGAUAUUCGGAAAAGUCGCAGCAAUAUAAAAUAAAAUCAGCACUUCAAUAUGCUUUCGAAAUUAGCAUUUUUGGAGCAUCGAUUUUUUUUUACCGAGACUUCCAUAAAUCUGAUUCCAUGAUGAAAUUAUGUAAGCAUUGAGAACAUUUGUCAAUGUUUCGCACAAAAAAGAUUUUUUAUUUUGUUUUAAUUUUUUUAUCAUUUUACUGUCCAUCCGAGCUCAUUUCAGCUCGAGCUAAGAAUAGUCAUGUCCCCAACUCUGUGACUACUCUCUCCGUCCCAUAAUAUAAGACGUUUUAUUGCAUUACGGUACUUAGACCUUGUUCGGAAUCCCACUGACUCCGUGAAAUACCGGGAGCUGAGGAGCCAGGAAACAGGCGCUCCACGUUUUCCAACUGGAACUCCACCUGCUCCGGGAGUGGACCUGUGGAGCGGAGGUCUUCCGAACAGAGCAUUAGUUUCCUUCUUUUGCAGGUAAAUUCAUGAGCUUACAACUACACCUGUCCAUAGUAACCUAUUGGAAAUCUCUAGAGUAGGCUAUGUUGUCUCCUGAGUACCCACUAGCCCAUGACGGCGCGUGUUGCUACACCCAUUUAUUUUUUCAAUAAAAUGGUAGUUAUAUUUAUGAAUAUAUGAGAGAUGAAACAUUAAGGUGACUUGUAAAAUAAUUGCCACCACAAAAGAAGAGGGAGUUUGGCAAUGGAGUGCAAUAGGUAGCCAGUAGCUUCCAAAGAUGGAAAGCAUGUACAGUACAAGGGAAUAUCUGAUAAAAAAAGGUAAGAAUCAUAGGGACAAGGCGAACCAUAUGUACCAAAUUCUCCACUGCGCACUACUUAGCAAUUAAUUUAAUCAUGUAACUUUAUGUGUCUUUAUAAAAUGGAUUUAUAAUAAGUUACUUCAAAAAUUGUUUUUAUAAGUUAAGGUUCCAACAUAUACCCGCAAAAAAAGGGUUCUAACAUAUACUGCAUUACUCAUAUCUGUAUGAACGCCUAUCAAAAUAAGAGAAAAUGAAAUCACAAGUCUAAAUCUUAUUGAUAGGUAAUGUAGAGCAACCAUCUGAUCUACCCUCAAAGGAAAAAGAACCGUUUGAUCUACACCUAUGAGCAGAUUUUAUUGAUUGUUACUAUCGCCCUAGAAUUGAUCAGUAAGGAAGUUCUCAAUUGAUACAUCAUGCACAUGACACUGGAAUAGUGCCUAGACGGCGUAACUGCUGCCAUUACCUCUUUUCCAAAUUGAGAACUUACAUAACAUCAGUGUGGAAAAGAACCUCGUGACGGUCAUUCGGCCUGGCACCAACACUUACUGGAAAUGGAAUGAAAUAUUGUCUACUUCAAAAAGUGAAAUAUAUUAAUACAUUUUCAAAUUUCCACAAAUACAUGAGAGCACCAACCAGAACAUAUCUGAUGAUUGAAGGAAACUCCACAGAAAGUGCUAUUUGCAAAAAACAGGUCGUUGGCCCACUAAAAGUACAACCCAUUAAUCAUGGACCGCAUAGCAAGGCAACUCAGUUGUCAAACAAAUUCAGAUGGAAACUAAAACAAAAAUGAGUUUUAACUGUCAACUAAGCAAAAUCUCCUAGUAAGUGUAACAUGGCUGGCAAAGUAGAAGUUGCUCCACAACCUUAUCUCUAGAUAUGUGAUUUAUCCCUUGCUGGAGAAAUACAAAACUGACCAAAAAUAAAAAAGGAAACUCUAGAGAGUUGAGCCUAACUGACCCGACAAGUCGUAUCUUCUUUAGUUCCUCGACAAUGACUCUGGAUUUUUAGUUCCAAUCCAUACAUGACCUGGAUUAGAUCGAAAUUAACCAGAAUAUAUAGAUAUUUUUGUUUCAUGACUCUUCAUAAAUCUGCAGUGGUAUUAAUAUUCUUCGUAAUAUUAACCUAGGCAAUGCAUCGAAUUUUGCAGAAUAACAAUCCAAAGUUAGUAAUAUCUAUUUAACCGAAGCCUAAUUUGGCGGUACAUAACCAACACUCUCAUAUUCUUGGCGAGCUAUAUAAUAUAUUCACUGAUGUAGAGCCUAAGCAUGAGAAAAAAGAGAUGUUACGUGCUCGUCACAUGAAUAUGCAAAUAAAAUAACUAUUGCUCAGUAGAAUAAACGAACGUUUUAUACUCCGUUCUUAUACUGUAAUACACACCAAAAUAAAAGGUUGAAACAAUCACUUGUAGGAAAUAUCCGCAGAGCCAGUGAAGAGAUGGAUCUGGUUACCAGACAACUACAAAUCACUUGCAUACAUAGUGCAAGUCUGCAACCUGUAAUAACACACUCAUGUUGAUCUGAUAUAAGUAUACACAUUAUGAAGCUGGUGCACACAUCCUCAAUGUGAAAAAAAAAUUGAUUUCGCUGAAAGAUAAAUGGAGGAAAGUACAUGGAGUAUGAUCCUAGGAUUUAUCUGUCAGCGACUCCUUUUCAUAUGACUAUAAGAGAGAGAAAAAUCGUUCAUUGCGCUCGUGGACCUGCGGUAACAAAAAAGUAUAGAUUAGACAGUGCCCAUAUUGAUACUCAUCAACUCAUGUUUGCCUAAAACGCCAUUAAAUCACUCCAUGAGUAAUCAGUAACAUCCAGAUCACAUAUUUAUUUGAAUAGAGAAAGAUAUUAUAGCCAGAAAAAGACUAAUUUCUAAACUAUGUUAUAUAGUUUUUAUAUCAAGGCUAACCGAUCUUACAGCACUGGAUAAUCUUACAUCAAAGACAGCUUACCUUGGAUCGGCACACAGGAAAUUUACACAUGACAGAUCCUCCACAUGAACCGCUGACUCAAGCAGGAGAUGAAGAAGCCUAGUGCUACGAUGACUGUUGACUGUUGAAUGGGCGGAUUGAGGCGACGAAAGAUGUGAAGGGCUUCCAACAACUUGACUAACAACACCAGCAACAAUUAUAGAGAGAAAAACAACAUCAUUAAUGGGGGAGGAGGAGCGCAGGGGUACAAAAUAUCUGCAACACGGAAGAAGACAUAGCAUCAACAUAGGCAAGAAAAGCAUAUAUACGGAUAUCUGGGCGUGAACUAAGGAGGAUGAGGCAGCGGGAUUAUAACGCACAUCCACCGUCGGCGCCGGAGAGUAACGCGCCUCAACCGCCAUUAUUGAUUGUAACUCCGCUGCUCCGACUCUCUACAUUCGCGCAUCAAUGCCCCUUCGUAUCGCCCAUUGAAUCCACCAUCGUCGAAUUCAGUGGCAUCUCACUCGUCUGCUAGAUCUCCCUUGCGUCUCUCGAUCCCCUUGCCGACCGCGACAGUUGGAUCCUCUGUAUCGAGCCCCCACCGAAUCAUGCAUCUCGAUUGGGGGUGUGAUACAGCCCAUUGGGACCAAUUAACACAAAACUUCCAAAAAAACACCGGAGCAGCGGCCCGAGAAGGCCAACGCUCGUCAGGAAGACUGUGUGUGCGAUUUAGGUGCUAUUAAGAGUGAAUCUGACGGCUAAAAACGACUAAAAAUGAUGAUCCAACGAUUAGAAAUGCUGAUGGCCUGAGAGGGCUGGGAGGGUGCUCAGUUAUAAUGUAUUUAAAUAUCUCGGUUUCCUAAAUCUCGAAAGCUUCAUCCACACCAAACUCAACAAGAACUCGUGAGAUAAGUUAGUAUAAACCAAUGCAAAACCUUAUCAUCUUCUACUGUAACAAAUCACUAAAAUUAUUAUUCAACAUUUCAUACUAAAUGUCUCUGCAUAUUUAAUACUCCUAUCCUCAAAUAGUGAUGAGGACAUCAAUACCAUUGUUACACCCACAGCCCCUGUUGCUAUACAUACUGGACCAAUUACUAGAGCUCGUGCACGCCAACUAAAUUACCAGGUACUUUCGUUUCUUGGUAAUGAUUCUAAUGUUCAUGAGAAUAUGAUGUUGCCUAAAUUGGAUACAUUUGUUUUGCUUACAAAUGAAGGGCCUAGCUUGGAGAAGGAUGAACAUUGGAGCAAGAACAAGCAUGGAGAUGAUGGCAUGCGCAAGGGGAACAAGAACGGAGUUACAAGUGAUGAUUUCAGGACUUUGAAGCCACCGUAAUGAGUGCAUGGAGCCUUGGACGAAAUAUACAAGAUGCCACUUCAUAAAUUUCGUCCAGAGGCUAUUCUAGGUGCUGCGUCACCUUAUUAUUGGGCCAGGCCCAUGUAAUUUUGAAAUACAUAAGUAUAUGCUAUUUUUAGAGUCUGUAUGUGUGGGGAAACAAGAGAUAGGGUUAGUUUCGGACCCCUUCACCAAGGGCCACGAAAUUCACCCCCUCUUCCUCCAUAUAUACAGCCCUUAGGGCACCGUCUAGACUUUGGGUUUUGUUUAGAUUAAAAGUUCGCCAUAGCUGCAACUUCGCGUACUUCGUUUGUGUUCAACGACCAGACAAAGGCGUCACAGAACCCCAACUUAAUCAAUAAAGCUUUCAUCUUAUAUUCGCAAUAUCCAGAUUGCAAUCUCAGUUUCUUGCUUGUUCUUUGUUUGCUCGCAGGAAACAGACCUUCGUAGUCAGGUUGAUCGUGCUCCGGCGUGGUCAAUAACCUCUCGGAGUUGGUUUAGCGAUUGCUAAGGCGCGACGUCCUCGCACGUUCGUAGUCGGAUCGUCAAAGUCGACUUCCACCAAAGCGAAAUCCACCAUCUCAUCGAAAGACGGACACCUUUGCCUCUAUCAAGUGGUAUCAGAUUUCCAGGUUGCUCGGUGAGAUUUUACAGUUUUUCGUAGUUUAGAUCGAGUCCGUUCUUCAUACCUACAGUCCACGAAAAAGCCACAAAAAAUAGGCUUAGUUCAUCAUAUCCGAACCAAUCUGAGCCUUUGCAUAAUCUUUUCUGUAUUUGCGUUGUUGAAUUUGCGGUUGCAUCGUCGUGUCUAGUUGCUGGUCUUAGAGUCUAGUCUUUUAGAGUUUCGAGUUCUGGUCAUAAGUUGUCACGCCGCCGCUGCACCAUCAUCAUCGCCCCUGCCAUCUACCACCACCGCUUAUCCGCCACCGCUUCGAAUCCGUAUCCAUAUUCCACCACCGCCAUCAUAUACCACCACCGCUGCCAUAUCCUACCACCAUAUAUCCACCACCAAUCCGAGUUCCUUGCAUAUUAGGUUUGUUUUCGGGAUCCAUCUAAUUUCCGAUUCGUGUUUCCUUGUCUGAGUAGGUUUCGGAUUCCAGCAAUCUUUUGCCGUCCAUAGAAGAGGUUGGUUUCCAAAAAAAAGCAGCACAAAAAAAAGAAAAAAAAGAAGAAGGAGCGAAGAAAAAAUCCAGAGUGUGCUUUUCCCUUGUUUACGUGCAGCGCCGUGAUUUUGUUAGUGUUCUAGGCUCGCGUCUCUAGCACGGUCUAGCCUAGGACCAGCAUAGUACCGUCGUUGAGCGUUUAUUCAACUUUGCAUCUCUGAAUUGAUUAUUGCUGACCUUUCUUUUGCUACCAUAUUAUAAGCCUUCCCAGCUCCACAUACAUCUACGUCGUGCGUUUGAUUCUCCCUGGUAAUCGCUAUAUCCAAGCUUUGAGAGUUUUGACUACAACGGUUGCCGAUCACCACCUGCUGCUGGGUAAGAACUGGUAAGAAUUUGAGAUUUGCUUGACGGGUUUGUGAUACACCACCACCACUUCUUAGUAGUCUGUAGGAUCAUAUUCUUGUGUGUUUCUAUUUGCUGCUAACCAUGGUAGGAUCACAAGCCGAUGAGACUGAUUGGGAGAACCUGACGAACAAACAGCUACAUGAUAAAUUUUAGCAAAUGAUGAGUGGACAGGUGCAAGAUGUACUAAACAGAUUUGACGAGGCCAUGGAGAAGAUAGAUGGCAUUGAGAAGACGUUUGAAACAAAGCUUGAUAGCAAGUUUAAUGAAUUGCUCGCGCGUUUUCCACAAGCACCGCCGGCUGCACCUAUCGCACCUCUGCAACGACAACAACUACGCCCCCUUCCGAAUCAGUAUGGACGAGCUCAGCGUGUUCCUAUUGAGCCAGGACAAAAUUCUGGUGCCGCUGCUACUGCUGUUGGUGCUUCUUUGGCUCCUGCUACUGCUGCUGCUGGUACCGAGGAGGAGGAUGAGUAUGCGGGCGAUUAUGAGGAUGAGGUUGAUCAAAAUCAGAACUACGUGCAGCCACCAGCACCACCACUAGUAGGUCGACCUCAGGUAUAUAUUCGUAAUGGUAGGCCUGCACCACCACCUCAGGUACGAGAUGAUGUCCAUAUUCCUAAACUGAAAUUAAAUAUUCCACCAUUUGAGGGUAGAUAUGUUCCUGAUAUAUAUCUUACUUGGGAGUUAGAAACUGAACAACGUUUUACAUGUUUACAAUAUCCCGAGGAGAGACGGGUUGCUGCUGCUGUUUGUGCUUUCACUAGUUUUGCAUGUGUAUAGUGGUCUGAACAUUGUAGAUUAUAUCCUAUUCCCGCUACUUGGGCUGCUUUGAAAACUGCUAUGCGUACUCGUUGGGUU
rnacentral:lncRNA from 1 species